UCGAUUGCUUCUGCAGACAAUGUCAAGGGUGGCAGGUACGAUGGAAACCUCUCUACAUGGGAAAACUCCGACACUCCACCCCUUUCUUCUUGGAAACCUGCCUAGAAACAUGUCUACUUCUUUUGCUGCGUCUUUGAUAUGCAGAGUUUGUGCAUUUGCCGCUGAAGUAAUUUGAGGCUAUGUUGUGUGGCUUUUAUAAGUAUGUGUAAUAAGAGUGACUGUUUUCGUUUUGUACAACAUGUGACAUUCACUAUGAGAAGAUUAUGGAUAUGUACUAAGCUUACUGGGGAAAGAUCACUCGAUAAACACAAGAGCGAGUUGAAUAUGAACUGAGCCUGCCAUGCCGACUUUAUCGGGGUGACUUUUAGAAUCUGAGAAAUCGGGAUUUUGAAGAAUUCAAACUCAGUCGUACAUACUAAGUGACGCUUUAUUCUCCUCCAACCAUGAGUUCAAUACUAACACCGUGUGCAACAUACUCUUAAGACUGGAUGCUACACAUAGAUACAAUGCUUCGCUUUGUGUUUGGUUUGGUAGCGAAGUAAAGGAACAGUAAAAUGUUACCGGAUGUUCUCGCAAAAACAAAGUUUGGGAUAAAAUGCUGGCGUAGUUGAUAUGAGUGUCGGGGAAAUCAAAGGUUUCUUGUUCAAGUUUCACCACCUACGGUGCAUGAGCUUUUAUGUAGCUCGAUACCUUUGCUCAUGCCUCUGCAUUAUUAUAAAACAGUCGGAGAUAUUGCGCAAGUUUCCUAAAAUUAAAAACGACACUUCUAUUGUUUUUUAUUUGGAAUUAGAGUGGAGCAAUGUUGUUUUGUUUUGGUUUAGGAAAAUAACGCAAAUAGUCAUUAAACUUUGGUCCAAUGUGUUAUGUUCUUACUGAACUUUUAAUUUAUUUAGUAUGGUUGUCGAACUUUUUGUACAUGUUUAAUUUAGAUCCUAGGCUAGAUAAAUCUAAUGACGCUGUGUUUGGUCGUUCGAACAUCUUUGCUAUAUGGGAUAAUGAUAGGAUAAAAAUCCCAUCUAAUAUUUCUUGACGUCCGGAUAUAACAUGAUUCAAAUAAAACAAAUUUAAAUGAGUGUUUGAUUUGUAUAAUUAAAAUUAAAAGUAAACCAUGGAAGUCGUGAAUAGUAUUCAUCCUUUCACAAUCUUCAUCGAUAUUAAACACCCCCGUUCCAUGUGACUUCAAGGACGCUCUCCUUCUGCAACGCCCCUUUCGCUGCCCUUGAUCAACUUGAUGGAUUACGCUCGCUCUACCUUUGACUUCGCCACAUUGAGAGGCCCUUGGGUUUGAGUUCUCCGCUGGUCUAGCCAUCUUUACUUUCAACGCCUUUUCCUGCGAUGAAUCCAUCCCCUUCGAUGAGUGUGAAUACUGCGUUGAUUCCCUGUUACCGUGUCCCGACUUGUUCAGUCACUUCAACAGCUUCCCCGAGACAGCGUGCGGAUCCGGUUUAUGAGUGGUAGCAGCAUCGGUACAACUCGCUCCAAGUGACGUGGUUGAGGAGCUCUAUCACCUUGGCUGCUGCCUCUUUCGGAUCAUCUUCUUCACAGAGGAGGUGUCCAGCUUUGAUCGGGAUCACAAAGUUCCCAACUAAAAUGGAGUUAAGUGACAUAAGAAAGAGGCAGGGCUGACGAGCUCCGGCGCCACUUUUCCGAGGCAGCCAAAGGUGGUAAGCAGCUUGUCACUGGUAGGAGGAACGGUGGCCCUUAGAGUUUGCUCAGGUCGUUGUGGCGAGGGCUUCUCUAGGUAUCUUCGUGAUACUCAUGCUUUAAGUUUGUGGUGGUCAUUUUAGCGAGAAAAAUCGGAACGAGAGAGAGAUGAUGGUGGCACUGGUAAAAAAUGAGGAUAAGCCAUCAACAAGCGCAGGAGUGGGGGAAAAACUUGUAUCCCUUAUUUUUUCAAUUUUCCAAAUUUCACAUAUCCUAUCUAGAUCUAUAUCACUUUUUAGAUGGGAUUUUUUAUCCAGACUAUAUCUAAAUUUCACUAACAUCGGGACCCCUAGAGUGCCAAAAGUUUGCACAAAAAGACAAUUAAGUGUCAAAAGUUAUGAAAAUGACACUUAAGUGCUAAAAUUGGAAUAAAAUAGAUCACUUAAGUGCAAAUCUGGUCAAAAUAUUGACAUGACAAUUUUCCAGCAAAACAAGUGCAAAACGGUGUCGUUUUGGUGCUGACAUGGAAAAAAUUAAUACAAAAAUUAAUUAAAUGAAAUUUAAAAUUAAAUUUAAUUAAAACAUUUAAAAAUAAAAAUACAAAAAUUUUAAAAAAGGAGAGAGGCGGUUGAGGGCUGAGCCCUUGUCGCUAGGAAGGGUCGGAGAUGGAGGGGGGAGGGUUAGCCGGGGUUGCCGGGCCCUAGGCCAGGGGCCGGCGACCUCGGCCAACUGGUGGCAAGGGCCCGCGAGCCCUCGCCUAGUUUUGGGGCGAGGGUUGCGGCCCUCACCUAGUUGAGCCAAGGGCCGCCGAUCCUCGCAGAAUCUGGGUGAGGGCUGCAACCCUUACUAGAUUUGGGCAAGGGCUCGUGAGCCCUCGCUGCCGGUUAGUUGGGGUCGCUGGCCCCUAGCUAGGGCUCAGCGACCAUGGUUGACCCUCCCCCCUCCGUCGUUGACCCUUCACGGUGACGACAGCGAUGGCUCAACCCUUAGCUACCUCCCCUCCCCCCCUCUUUGUCUCUCUGUCUCUGUCUCUCUCUGUCUAUAUAUAUAAAUAUUUAUGAUUUUUUAAUACUUGUAUUUGUAUUUUUAAAUGUUUUAAAUAAAUUUAAUUUUACAUUUAAUUUAAUUUACAUUAUUUUUUUACCAUAUUAACACCAAAACGACGUCAUUUUUGCAUUGUCUAGCUACGACAGUGUGCAAAAUGAUGCCGUUUUGCACUUACUUCGCCAGAAAUUGCGUACAUCAGAGCCAUGAUUUCGUUUGUAAUAAUAUCCGUUCCAUAUGCUUAAUAGGUGAAUCCAAUGCUGAGAAGGUUUCUUCACAUCAUGACAGAUCUAGAAAUACUAGAAGCAUCUGUUUCUCUUACUGCAUCUCCAUCUUUUUCAACCCCUUCAGAUUUUCAUGUUUUAAAUGCUUCUAAGAUAUACUAUCUCUAUGAAAUCUCUCUUAGCGAUGAAACCAAAAUCUCUGAAACUUAACUUUCCCUGAUGAACUCAUAUUUUGCUUUUGCUAAACCCACCUCAUCCUUUUCUCCCAUUCGUUCCAUUCGCCAACUUAUUCGCCAAACUCCAAAGGAAGUAAAUGAGUACGUUAAGUCCUUCAAGUUCGACCAACAUCCCAUUCUCGCCAUUGAAAAUGAGUACUUUGUUACUCUCUAGAUUCCUCCAGAGUUUCCUAGGCAAUAGAUUCAAAAAGGAUAGUCUCAUGUCCAUUAUGGAGUUGUUCGUCUUGCUCUUACUUUUUAUGGCCGCAAGGGCUUGCCAGUUGUGGCAAGAAUAGCAUUACUGGAUACUAGAUUUCUAAAGUACUAGUAUACUUGUAUCAGUACUAUCCAAACCACUUUAAAUGUUGGAAUAGUUUUUGUGACUUUGUAUCCAAAUUUCAAUUUGCUCUUUCAAAUCCACAGUUACUUUCCUUUUUGAAAGUCUAAGUUUAGCUCACUGGAGCACCUCAGACAGCUGAUUCUGUUGUUGCAACACUACACUACUAGAUCGUUUAUUAAGUGCAGAACCAUGCUCUUGACUUGAAUUUCCACAAUGAAAAUGAAGAUGCUUUAUUCAUCUCCAUGCAAAAUGAUCAUGCAUCCUGCAUUCAUGUUCCCAGACAUAUCCCAAAGGAAAAGUUGCCAAGCUUCUUCUAGAGACUUGGAUCACUAACUAUGAAAAGUUACAUCAGAAUAACAAACCUUUCUAGUCUUCAGACUUUGAAUUUGUCAGAAAGAAAGAUGGAACUGUUUCCAUCAAAUUUGGCAAGGAAAAUAAAGAAAUUCUUUUUAUCUUCCAAAUCCUCUUUAUGAUCGAACCAUGUGUUCCGAGCUAGAUAAAAAAAAAAGAAGCUUGUUUAAUACUUCAAAAGUGAUUAACAUCAUGUCCAUUACUACAAAGACUAGUAUGGUCACUGUUUCUAAGAUCCUUUUUGUCAAUGUUCUUUUUGCACAAACUCUCCCGACGAGGUAGACCCAUAUGCAAGACCUCGACGGAAGCAUAAGAAGCCAAAAGAUCCUAUGUACCAAAGGUACUUGAAUGGAGAUCCCUCCGUUGAUACUCUUGGUGAGUGUGAUAAAUUCUAGUUUAUGGUUUCCUAUACACCAACUCCACCACCAGAGUUCAUUACUCCACUAAUAUCACCAAGUUCAUCACCAUCACCUCCUCCAUCUCCUCCAAAAAAAAAAGAAAACCAACUCUUUCCCCAUUUUAUAAGCCAAUCUUAAAGUGGGCGAAUAAAUAUUCCUACCCACUUGAGGCUCUAGCAGAACACCACCAAGUUCUUUCAUAGCCAUGUUCCAUGAGACAUACUUUCCUCUUUUUAUUCGAGAAAGUUAUAAUCUCGUUUCCUGCUCCAAAAGAAUUCAUUGAUCUACAAGGCAGAUAUCGGCAUGCCCCUAAGAUACCUACCCCCACUGAUGUGGAUGGACAUGGAAGAUAGAAAAGGACUCCUGUUGUUGAAGCUGUCCUAAAUUGGCAAUCGGAAACUCUUUUAGCAUAUAACAAUGCGUUCAAAGCAAUUGAUUCCAAGAUUGUAAAUGUGCAACAAGAUUUUCGAAAUAUGAUGAAACCACCAAGAAGAUGCUUUCAGAUUUCCAAAAGAGGCUUCAUGCCUUGGAAUCUAGAUAACAUUUAGGGUGUCAUCAUCUCGAAAGUCCUAAGGUGGAAAUAGAGAAGCUCAAAAGGCAAAUUCAACUCCUUGAAGAAGGAAGAUUCAAUCCAUUUCCGACUACUUUGCGGACAGAGCAUCCCCCUCUUCCACUAGCCCAUAACACAUCUAUCUUUGUUGCUAUCACAGAUGUUCUUGUUAGGCAAGAUAAGACAAAUGUGGCUGAAAUGCGAAAUCUUCUCAAAGAACUGGACUGAAUAAGAAAAGAAAAGGGAAAAGAGAAGAUGCCUAAAGAAUCCUUGCUUGUCAUAAGGAAAAAGCCAGAUCAAUUGAUGCUGUCGAAUCUAUUAGAAUCUUUCCGAAGAGAUUUGGGUAAUCAGGAAUCACAGUCUGAUCUUGUUACUCAACAUCUUGAUCCCGUCAUUCCAACAGAUCAGAUUCUAUUUUCAGCAGAACUAGCUUUUCCAAAUAUCUUUGAUACUGAAUUAAAUUCGGUAUCCCUCUUGUCCUCCUCAUCCUUCUCAAUCCCUACCAUUGAUUCCUUCCCUAUUGUACUAGUAAUUUCAUCAAUAUUCAUGAUCGAUCAUCCGGACCAAGAUAUGGAAUCAAACCAUUCUGAACCAAAGGUUGUUUAGCCAAACAAUCCCUCCCAGCACGUGUAUUUUGCAUCAAAAUAGUUUAUUUAUUUAUUUAUUUAUCGUUGAUGACAUUCCCUAUCACAAAUGGCCAUAAAGACUUGAAGAAUUUCAUACUUGGUUAAAUACCCAAACCCUUACCAACCAGGAUAAGUAUGAUGUCAUUUUUGAUUUUGUCACAAGGUUUACAGGUAGCCUCAAAUAUUGGUGGCAAUCUGUGUUAGAACAAGACCGGCUUCAAUUUUUACUCUCACUUGAUUUUGGUCAUGCCAUUAUCCUUCUAUAUCAUUUCUUUGUGGGAAAACCUUUUGACCUCCAAGAGCUUAAAAGGAGAGAAUUUUUCGAAAGAAGAUGCUGCUUCUUCCAGAAAAAAACAUCUUGAUAAAUAUUAUCGAGAAAUGUUUAAGCUCUUCUAUGGUAUUGGAGCUGAUCCAAACCAGAAACGCAUCUUCUUGACUUCCAUCCCCAAAGAAUUGUCUCAAUAGGUGGAGAGAACUUUUCUCAGCAAACAAAGAAGGAUUCAGGAUAUUCCGUUAGGAGAAAUCUAACAAGAAAUUCAUUUGUGCCUUGAAGAAUUGUGUAUCAAAUGCCAAAUGAUCCAGACUUAUGUCGACAAUAACAGAGAACUUGAUAUAGCAUGUUCUCGCCAUAAGCUAAAGAUCAAAUGUUCAAAGCGAGAUUGUGAUGGUUCUUGCGGAAAAUUUUCCAGAAAAAAGCACUUCAAGAAGCUCUGGAUAAUGAAAUCUAGGCGUGGCUCUAAGCAUUUUUGAAGAAAGAAGAAAUGGCGACACCUAUGCAAAAGGAAAGAUCACUCAGGCCACAAGAAGUCAAAUCAAUGCUUCAUCUGCAAUUAGAAAAGACAUUUUGCCAAAAAUUAUCCCCAAGCGAGAAAAUGUCAAAAUCAUAUGAUAUAUCAUAUAGAGAAUGAAACAGGUAAUUCUCUUGAAAAUGAUAAUAUCGAAUCUUUAUUAUCUGAGAAUGAAGAACCAUCUGAAUAAACUCUUUGUGUCAUUCCUUGUUACGAAACUUCUAGUGAAAUUGAUUCGGAUUCAAAUCCUGAAGAUAUUUUUCACAUAUCUCUCACUUCUUCAGAAUAAAGCACUAACAUAUUUUCAAGCUAAAUUCAUUGUCCCCAUUUCCCUGUGAAAAUCUUCACUUCAAAGUUUGCCAAGCCUUUCAUUGUCAUUGCUCUCAUAGAUACUGGAGCAAGUUCUUCAAUCUUGGACACCAAAGUUAUUCUUGAAGAAUAUUGGACUUCCUAUGUUUGAUACUUCAAUUCUACCUCAGGAGAUACUUUUUCUACGAAUGUAAGAACUACCCUAGUAAUCAUCUAAUUUUUUCCACAGUGUUCCAUAACCAUAAAAAUCUCUGGUUCCAGUCUUCCCCACAAGGAUUUGAUCAUUGGCUGGGAUAUCAUGACUAAAAUUUCUCAACUUCGUAUCAUUUCUAGAAAAUGUCUUAAGUAUAAGGACUAAUUUUCUAAAUUCGUCAAUAUCCAAAGACUUUUUUUCCAUCCAAAUGAGCCUGCUAGACCCCAUCAUGCAAAAGUUGUUAAAAUCAUGUUUGGAAUUUCAUUUUGAAUUUGCUCAAAAAUGUUCUCACCCUCUAUGGGAAAAUUUAGAGUUCUUUGUUUGCCUUCCUUUUUUAAAAAAAAAUGAGGAUAUCAAUCUAAACAAGGCGAGUUACAUGGGAAUGAAGUCAGAACACUUGGUUUUAACUCAAAGGGAAUGUUCGGAACUAUUGCAGCAAUGCCUUAUUGAAAUCUCCAAUUCUCAAUGGGCCUGUGAAGCUUUUUUAUGUCAAUAAGCGUGCCGAACAAAAUAGAGGAAAUAUGAGAAUGGUAAUUAACCAUCAGCCUCUUAACAUUUUUUUCCAAGAUGAUAAAUUCCCUUUACUCUCCAGAAAUUCCCUAUUUACUAGAUUAUCCAAAGCCCAUAUUUACUCUAAAUUCAAUCUCAAAGCCAGAUUUUGGCAAUUGUGCAUCCAUCCUAAAUACAGACCCAAGAUAGGGUUCUGUAUCAUGAACCAACAUUUCCAAAUGGAAAGUUAUUCAUUUUGGUCUAAAGGUGGUACUAUCCUUAUUCCAAAAGGUCAUGUGUCGAAUUUUCCAACUAAUUUUGUCAAGUGCAGUAAUAUACAUUGACGAUAUCGUGCUUUACAAUCUUAAUGAGCAGUCACACUGCCAACUUCUUAAACAGUUUGUAGAAAUUGUGUAAAAGCAUGGGAUCAUGCUUUCUCAAAAAAAGAUGAACAUUGUCCAUAUAUAAAUUGAAUUUCUUGGUAUGACCUUAACAAAGGUAUGUAUUAUCCAUGGCCAUAUAUUGCUCAUGAAUUGUUGAAAUUUCCUGAGGAAAAUUUCACAACAAAGCAAGUUCAGCAAUUUCUUGGAAUAAUUAAUUAUCUCAAAGAUUUCGUUCCAAACAUUGCAGAACUGUUGAUUCCAUUGAAAUUGAUGCUGAAAAAGAAUCCCCCACCUUGGAGAAAAUCUCAGACUAAAGCAGUCGUCGAACUUAAGGAGAUUAUGUAGACUCUUCCUCUGUUACAAAUCCCAUCGAUAAGGAAGAUAAUUCUCUAGAUCGGCGCCAGUGAUGAAUACUGGACAGCCAUCUUGUUUGAAGAAAUUGAUGGUAAGAGACAUCUGUGUACCUAGAAAAGUGGAAAAUUUUCCCAAGCUGAAAUGCAUUAUCAUUCCACUUUCAAAGAAAUCUUGGUGAUGAAAAAUGGAAUAAAAAAGUUCGAAUUCCAUCUCAUUGGCCAUCACUUCAUGGUAAAAUUGGAUAUCCUCAGAUGAUCAAGUUCAAACAGAAGCAGAUUUCGAAUUUUCAACUGCUUCAAUGGGCUGAAUGAUUUUCAAAAUACUCUUUUGAAACCAAACAUAUUGCCGGAAAAAAAAAUGUGCUUGCUGACUUCUUGUCAAGACCAAAAGCACCAGUAAAAAUCAACAUGUACAUCAUGAGGCAUGCUUUUCAUAUUCUUCAUAACAAUGAAAAGUAUAAGAUUGAAAGAAUACAAGACUAGUCAAGCUGGCAAUAUUACUAGGAGAUUGUGGAACAAAUCUAGAAUGACUGCCUUAUUGAAAAUUUGGAUAAUCUCAUGUGGCAAUUCCACACAGAUCUGUUUAGAUUUAAUGGGGGUUCGAUUCUUUAUCUUUUUAGAUUAAAUUCAGACUAUCCGUUCAUACAUCCUUUAAUCUGGAAGGAAGAUAAUUUCCCUGACCAACUUCGAUGGUUAUUAUGGUACUUAACCAAUAAGUACUGAAUAGUAUUGAAAUUCCAACUAGAAGAUUUAUUACCAACCUCACUAGGAUAUUUAGACUUGGCAGAUGAAACAUUGAAAAAGAGAGUGACAGAAAUCUCAUAGGUUUCCUUAAUUGGUUUUAUCCCUCUACUCACUGGAAAUACCUCUUGCAGAAAGAGCUGAGAACCACACAACUAAACCCUGAGGUCCAUAUUAUUUUGUUUUUUCGACGACCGUGGGCUUUUGUCACAAAUAAUGGUAGCAGUAGCAAUGCCCCCCAAAUUAUAGGUACCACAUCCUAUAAACCUCAACCACAUAGUGUAGAAGCUCAGAUUUACAAAUCUUAUUUAGAACCCGUUGGUUGCUACGAGCACCAGUAUCGAGAACUCCAAAGGAUUUUGUACUAGGAAAAUAAAAUCAUUCCUAAAGAUGCAUGGAACUAUAAUGUACCCACUGUAUGAGAUUAUUAUAGUCUCACACUAGAAGUUAAGGAAGCACUCGAAAUAUUCAGACAAGUUACAUCAUCACAGGAGCAUGAAAUGGCAGACACAGAUGACAUCGCACAGUCCUCUCAAGAUCCCUAUGUCAAAUGGGGAGGUCCUCUUUCUCAAGAUCCCUAUGACCAAGAAACUUUGUCCUUAUCUCAAAGCAUUGACACAUCCUACUAUACUCAGUCAUCCAAUUGGUCUCAGCUAAGCAUUCUUGCCAACACUACAGGCUCCUCUUAGAAUCAAGCGAAAGCAUCCUCGUCAAAUCAAAUUCUCUCACCAGAUUCACUUGUAGGACUUGAGAAAAAAAUAUGAAGAAUAGCUUAUGUCAAUGUAUAGUUCGGACGACUCAGACUAUGACUAUAAUGCUCGUGAUGGACGAGACUAUUGACCGUACAAGUCACUGUAGCAAGUCACUUUUCACUUUCAUUGUAGCAGUAGACUAGGGAAAUAACUGUUCAUUAUCAAUGUUCAUAUCGUGCGAAUAAUCUCCUAUGCCUUUAUUUGUUUCAAGAUUGUGAGAAUGAUCCUUGUUUAUGUGUGACCUCUUAUUGCCUAUAAAAGACAAGAAUGAUGUAAUGUGUUGGGCAGAGUCCCUUGAAGUAAAGUGAGUAUUUUGUGUAAAACUCUCUAUGGCUUUAUAAACUUAUCUUCUUCUCCAGUCUGGUAGGAUCAUUUGAGAAAUGUAGUUCGGAUAGUUAGAAAUGUUACCAUCCUGGUUCUAUAUGAGUGUUUCUAGACUCUGAACUAAAGGGAAGAGUGGUUUUAUGUUAAAAGGCUGUCUCUGAAGGGCUUGAACGGAAGAGGUUCACCUACUGUGGGGUAUGCCAACUUUUGGCACUUGAAAUAAUCUUUUGCCGAAUUUCACGUUACUCUAAACACCGGAUAUGAUCAAACUUUUACUAUCAAAGUUUUAUCUAGCCCAUCAAAGGCAGUCUUAUGAGAUAGGAUGCAAUGAUAUAAUCUAUGAAUUAGAUCAAACAUUUAUUAAAAGUUUAAGAACGAUAUUUCAUUUUUUGAAUGUUAGGAUGCACGAGUAAGUUAUGUUAAAACAAUCCCACAAUAUAUUGAUAGCUUUGAAAUAAGGCUUUCUCUUGGUGAUGACGAAGAUCCAUAUGGAGAAAUUAAUGGGAGGGUUUGUUUGGCCUAACUAAAUGAGAGGCUAUAUCAGUGGGAGGUUUUUCAUUGUAACCUUGUGCUUGGUAUUUGUAUUUUAGUAAAGGAUUUUGUUAGCAUAAUAGUUUCUGAGUUAUUGUGAGAAUAACAACUUAUUAUGAGUUACAAAAUUUUCUCUUUCUUUUUUUCUUCACUUCCUUCUCCUUCCUCCAACCAAUCAUCACUAGUGAUUGGCAAGAGGCAAGGUUGGUGAGGUACCUCGCUGGUCUCGAGGAAGCUUGACCAUGGUUAGGCAACCUUGCUCAUGGCUAGGCGACCUCGCCUAGGCCGCCAACUGGGCUGGUGAGGGUUGACCCUCGACGGCCAUGGGUGAGGACAAAUGCCGCUAGUUGGGCUUGCGAGGCUCGCCCUUAUUGAAUUUGGCGAGAGUUGAGUCUCAUUGGCCAUGGGUAAGGUCAAAGGCCGUGACCUCACGUGGUCUUUGGUGAGGCUUGCCAAAGGUUGGGCAAGGCUCACCGUCGUUGGACUGAUGAGGGUCGAGUCUCGUCGGCCAUGGGUGAGAUUGCAACUUGCCCAUGGCCGGCGAGGUGAGCCUAGGCCAAAGGCAGGCGAGACCUUGCCUAACCAUGGCGAGGGUGGCCUCACCAUUGUUGGGUGAGGCUCACCCUUGCUAGUGGUGUGUGGGGGUAAGCCUUGCCAUUGGUUGGCGAGGCUAACCUUGCUGGCUUGAGUAAAAUAAAAUAUUAUUAAAAGAUUAUCUACAUCAAUAUUAGUUGGACGAGCGGUGUUGGUCGGCCAAAAUUUCUGAAUGAAUUGAAUAGUAUAAUUGCAAAAUGUUUGGGAUUGAAUUGGCUAAAAAAAAAGGUCUAAGUUUGAAUUGGAAAAAUUACAAUAAGUUUAUGAUUGUUUUGGUACGUCCUCCCUAUAUGGGAAGGAUCGUGACUAUGCUUCAAUUGAUGUAAGCAAGUGCAUCUUCACAGCCACUACCGCUCCCCUCCUACUCUUUGUAGCUUAUGCUACUCCCCUCUUAUAAAUCUCGGCUCGCCUGACGCCUUCGCCAUUGUGUAGGGAACGAGCGAGCUCGAGCUAGACCACAGUAAUGGCGGCAUCGACAAUGACGAUAAGGAGGAUCAAGUUGGGGUUGCAGGGCCUGCAGGUGUCGGUGCAAGGGCUGGGCUGCAUGGGCAUGUCCGCCUUUUACGGGCCACCCAAGUCGGAGCCCGACAUGAUCGCCCUCAUCCACCAUGUCGUCGGCUCUGGCGUCACCUUCCUUGACACCUCCGACAGCUACGACCCCCACACCAAUGAAAUCCUCCUUGGAAAGAUCGGUUCUCUCAGUCUCUGUUUUGCCUUCGCAUGAACUAUAUGUGCUUAUAAUGUUACGGAAUGUAGCUUCAUCGAGCAGAGUGCUUUGAUCCUGCGCCUUGGUUUUCUGAUUUCGGGGUUGAUUUUGAGCAGGCACUAACGGGAGGGGUGAGGCAAAAGGUGGAAUUGGCGACCAAGUUCGGAAUCAGCUUCGCGGAUGAGAAGAAAGAGGUCCAGGGCGAUCCGGCAUACGUGAGGGCGGCUUGCAAUGCCAGCUUGAAGCGACUUGACAUCGAUUGCAUCAACCUCUACUACCAGCACCGUAUCGACACUCGCGUCCCCAUUGAAGUCACUAUAUGGAUCCCUUAUCAAACUUUCACCUCGCUUGAGACUUUCUCCGAGCCAUAUGAUUAGUUGCUAAAUUAGAUUGGUGUUGAUGAUGCAUCGUCAUGUUGUUACAAGUUUGUUGAAUUUUGUUAAAUGACACUUAAGUUCAGCUGAUAGCAAAGCUCAAGAUGCGGCACGGUGUUGUUCAGGGGUUGUGGAAUUUAGUAGUUUAAUGGCUUGAGUUUUCGUUUUGUGGGCAUCCUUUACAAGUUAAGGGUCAACAAGCAUGAAAAUCAUUCGAAAUCUUCCUUACCUUUGAGAUGAAAGUGCUCCGGGGUUCAUCCUGAUUUUUUUUUUUUUUGGUGGUGAAAGUAAGUAAUUGUAUUAAGCUUUGCCAACUAUACAAGAUGAAAUCUUGGCACCAAAACUUGCACUCAGAAUGACAUGACGUCAAUGCGAGUGGAAGGAUGCUGAGAUGAAAAAUAGCAAGCAAUAAACGGUGUUGACACCUAAAUUUUGGCGAUCCGAUUAUUUAUUUAUUACAUAAAAAUUAUGGGUCAAUUUGUCUCUUAAAAAAUAUUAAUUACAUAUAGAUUUAGGUGCAUUUAUUUUUAAUUUAAUUUUUUUGUAUUUUAUUGGAUCGAUGGUGGAUGGAUUCAAAUUAAUGGUUAUGAAUUUUAAAUUGACAAAUCGAACUAAGUUCACGAAUAUAAGAAAUUGGCGCAAGCCCGUAUUUGAAAAAAUUCUAUUGUAAUUUUUGAAAAAUCAAUAGAAAACAUUCAUUUUUGCAAAGGAAAUCAAGAAGAGCUGUGGAAAAUAAAAAGUGAUAUUACGUGCGGAAAAGAAAUCUUUGCAGAUGUUGAUUUAAAAAGGAAAUUAAAAUCCUAAUUUUUGGUCUAUAAAAAAGUAACUUAGUAUAGGGUUUUGGGGAGGCUACACAUGGAAUACACAGCCAGUGGAGGGCGAAAUUCGAAAAAAUUUGGAGAGCAAACGCGAGGGGGCUUUUUCCUUCGGUUGAUUGGAGUUGAGAAUUCAAGAAAAAAGAAGAAGAAAGAAUUCGUUUGUUUGUGAAAAAAGGCAGCAAAAGUGUGCAGAAAAAAAGGAAGAGACAGAGACGGGACAGGGAAGAGUGAUGUGAGAGAGAGACGUGGAGUAGAAUAAAAAAGAAAAAAGAAAGUAAAAACAGGGAAGACUGUUCAUCCUCGCAAGCGCCUCAACCGCUGUCGCCGAUCCCUUUCGCCCGCACCGGCCCGCGACCUGCAGCCGCCGCGCUCCGUCGCCGCCUCACCCGAGCCGCCGACCACCACCGCUCGCUGCUCACACUACCGCUGUCCCGAUCUGCCCGCUCGAGCGUCCCUACGCCGGCAGAUCUGAGCUGCUCGCCACUCCACCGCCGCGCGAGUUCCCGCACCGGUCCGCGCCUCCUCUGCUGCUCGUGCCGUGCCACCACCAGGGUUCCUCUCGCUCGCGAGCUCGCACCGCCGCCCCGCUGUGCUGAUCCGCGACGACCCGACGCUCCGCUGCUGCUGCUGCUGCACCUUCGCAGGUCACCCCACCAGCACCACCGUUCGUCGCCCUGGCUGUAGGCGCGACGACUCGACACCGCCUCUGCUCAGUCACUCCUUCACCCGCUCCUGCUGCAGCACCAGUCGCUGCAACCUCCGCCGUCGCUCUUGCAUCCGACCCGACGCCAGCAGCAACGAUCCAGAUCCGGCGCCUGCUGCAGCCACAGCCCGACGCCGCUCCUCUGCCCGCGACCCAAGACCGGACGCCCAGGUCCGACGCCCUGCAGCUCCCUCUCUGAGUGACUCCCGCGACUUCCCUCACCGGAGCAACCCACCACGUUGCUGCUUCGCUUGAAAAAAAGAAAAAGAAAAAGAAAACAAAAAAAGAAAAAUCAAUUUAGGUAAUUUUUCCUUUUAUUUAUCUAUCUUAUUUUAUUAUUUUUGUUAUUUAACUUUAUUUGUUCUUUUUCAGUAUAAUUAUUCCUUAGUGUAAGGAUGAGAUGUUCGACAUGAAAUAGCCUGUGAAAUUUGUGAUUGUCAGUCCGAUUUUCACGCCUAAAAUCCGACUUGCAAUCACUUAAAAAAAAUCGCUAAUCCGAUCUUCCGCCUAAGAUUCAAUUCGCGAUUUAUGUGAAAUUGACCAACUCGAUUUCAUGCGCGAGAUAUAAUUCGUCAAUUUGGAUAUCAUCUUGCUCCGAUUUGUUGUCGUGUCAUUUAAUUAAAUUUGCUUUCAUAAAAAAAAAAUGUAGGUUAGAAUUAGGUUUAUUCCCUAUUUUAGGGUUUACAUAUUUAAAAUAUGAAUUUUAUUUCGAAUUUUUUUUUAAAAAAUAAUAAUAAAUUAAAAAAUCAAAAAUCAAAUCAAUUAAUUUAGGUUGCUAGUUUUUUUUUUUUUUUUUUAAAACUUGGAUUGCAUGUUUAAUUGUUUGGCAAUUAUUAAUUUCGAAAUUAAUAAAACAAAAACGCAACAAAAAAUCAUCAUGCAUAUGUCAUAUAGAAUUAGGGCAUCUUUUGUAUGUCAUUGCAUAUUAGGGUAAAAUUGCUAAUAUUUUUCUUAAUUUAUUAUAAGUUUAGGUAUUUUCUUAGAUAGAUUGCAUUUUAGGAUUGCUUGGGUUAGGAUAAUAUUCUAAUUUAAAUUAGGAUUUGGCUUAACCUAAUUCCUAAUACAAAUUGAAUAGAAUCUUAAUCUAGUUAGAUAAUUUUCACAUUUAAUCUAAUUUCGAAUUUCAUGAAAAAUACAAAAAAAAAGUCUUAGAAUAAAUUGGUUUUAUUCUCUAGGAUAAAUUGCAUUCUCUUUAAGGAAAAAAGAAGAAAAAUAUCAUGUGCAUGCCAUAUAAGAUUAGACUCAUGAGAUGCAUACCAUUUAGUGAUUGUUGCUAGUCCAUUUAAUUAGAAAUUGCAUAUCAUUAGAAUUAGGUCAUUUAGUUAUAUUGCAUUGCAUAUUAUAUGAUUUUCAUUAAAUAAGUGAAAAUAAAGAAAUUGCGUAUUGAUUAGAAAUUAUAUUUAAAACCGUCGAUGUGAAUUUUGAUAUAACAUUGUAGAUGCUUUCGUUGCUAUGAAAUGACUAUUACAAUUUAUUCAUUAUUUAUCUGGGUGUUAAAUUGGUGGUUUGCGCACUCAUAUGAUCACUUCAUAUGUUAAAAAAAUAGAUUUAAAAUCAAUCCAAAUUGCAUGUAAAAACAUUUUUGAAAAUAAAAAGAAGUGGUACCGAAAGGGUAUUAGAGAAUCUAGCAUAAUUAAGUCUCUGAACUCAUAAAUCUCUAAUUCGUAGGAGUGAAGUAAAUCUCCCGUUACUUUAUUUGAAGAUUAAUGGCGACUCCUAACUGAAAUAUCGUUUGUAUGUUAAGAACUUAAACCCAAGUUGCAAAUUGGUAUGGCUUGGGAGAGCUUGAGUUAGGUCUAGGCUUAACAAUUCAUUAGCCAAACCUUAGGUGAUACACACCUGAAAAUUUGGUCGCGACAAAUGGUAACAGCCACCACACAGCAAAGAAGAGCCAAACAACGGCCACCACUAGCAACCAAAGCAAAAAACAAAAGGCAACCGAGGGAUCAAACAGACGCAGCCAGAUCACCCCAAGCACCAAACCAAAAAGGGAAAGGCACAGUUCAAGCGUCCCAGUUGAGAGAAGCCGUGACCGACACGAACCAGGGGAGGAGGAAUCUUCAGUGAAACAGCCAACCCCAAGGACCUCGGCGGUAGCUCAGCACAAGAAUGUCCACCCUAGAAGGGUAUCCAGUUAGAAGGAGAUGGAUGAUGGAACAACCAUUCUCAAGGAUCGAACUCGCCGCUGAAAUAGCAGCUACAUGGAAAUCAGCUUCGUAGAUUUGAUCAAGAAUCACCUAAAGAGAAAACAAUCGGAUCAAUGCCCCAGGCACGCUGGAGUAUCCUGUUCCUCGCGGUACUAUCGACAUUUCUGAAAGUUAGAGCCUUAUCCCGGACAACCCUAAGGAGAUGGUUCUUCAGGGCCGGGAUCGUAGGAGUUAGCUCUCUAAACAAAAUAUCAUUCCUGUUCUUUCAUAUAAUGUGACAGAGGGCUCCAAGGGGUUCAUCCUGAAUUUAUAUACAGGAAUCACAGAUAAAGUUGUUCCUGGACUUUAUGCGGAGACAUUUGAUUCUUGACAUAUUGUGAAAUAUGACAAGUACUUGGAAUACUUCUUUUAUUUGCUCUCUUCUGUGAGAGAUUCAGGAAAUCUACCUCCGUUAACUCAAUACCUUGUGACUUUUUUGUUGCAUUGUGAUGCAUGAUAAUUGAGGGAUCUAGACACAUAAAAAGCUAAUGCCAUGCAUAAUUUUCUGGAUCUUAACAUGUAAGAUCUUUCGUCCAAAAAAAAAAAAAAACAUGUAAGAUCUUGAUUUUGUUGUUUUGUCAUGUGAAUAUGCAUAGAUCGGAGAGCUAAAGAAGCUCGUGGAAGAGGGUAAGAUAAAGUACAUCGGUUUAUCCGAGGCCUCUGCCUCAACAAUCAGAAGAGCACAUGCUGUUCAUCCCAUCACAGCGGUGCAAUUGGAGUGGUCGCUUUGGUCAAGAGAUGUGGAGGCAGAGAUCGUUCCAACGUGCAGGUAGGAUAUCACUCUGUUAAUUGUUUAUGCAGCAACAACAGCUUCCUUCUGACUCUGCUUUUCCUUUAAAAUGUUGACUAGGGAGCUUGGCAUUGGAAUUGUUGCCUACAGUCCUUUAGGACGAGGAUUCUUUUCUGUUGGCUCCAAGUUGGUGGAGAAUAUCUCUAAGGAUGACUUCAGACAGGUCUGUUCCUGCUUGUCAACAUAAUUAGAUGCCAGUAUCGGGCUUUGGCCCUCCGUCCUUUUUCAUUCUCAUCUUUCUUCACAAGAUAAACUAUAUCUUGACACAACCAUUUCUUGAGUAAGGACUCCUAGCACCCUUCUUAUGAGAGUUUUGGCUCAAGUUCCCAUCUGACAUAAAGCCAAUUGUGUAUUACUCCCCGCCAUUAGCGUUUGACUAGCGAUAGUGCUGGGCAAGUGAAGUAGCUAUUUUUUUUUUUUUGUAGCUAAAAGAGCUUUGCGUCUGAUAACGUUCUUCUACACAUCAUCUACAUUUCUGAUUUUUAUUUUAUGUGUGACUCAGGAAAAUGAUAAUUGCUCAUAUGCUCUCUGCUGAGACAUUGCUCUAUGUUAUGCAGUAUCUACCAAGGUUCCGGCCAGAGAACUUGGCUCACAACACGAAGUUAUUUGACCGAGUGAAUGGAAUUGCACAAAGAAAGGGAUGCACCACAUCGCAGUUAGCCCUCGCCUGGGUACACCACCAGGGUGAUGAUGUUUGCCUGAUUCCCGGCACGACCAAGAUCGAGAAUUUCAACUAGAACAUUGGAGCUCUGUCAGUGAAGCUUACACCGGAAGAGAUGGCCGAGCUUGAAUCGAUUGCUUCUGCAGACAGUGUCAAGGGUGGCAGGUACGAUGGAAGCAUGUCUACAUGGGAAAACUCCGACACUCCACCCCUUUCUUAAUAAAAUUAUGUGUUUUUCUAGUAAGGGAUGUUGCGAAAACUUUAUUGUCUUUUGCAUGCGUAAUUAUAACUAUGAGUGUAACUAUGCGUAAUUACAACAUGUGGCGUCACACAAUCCUCAGCACUUGAAUUGGGGUCUAUCAAGGUAGUGCUUGAGUCUAUGAUGCUCAAGCUCUAUUCAAUAGCACUUAGGCUCGGGUCCGCAAAGAUUGUGCAUCAGUCCUCAAUGCUUGAGGUCGGCUCGUUAGUUAAUAAAACGUUUGUUCUUAUAAAAAUAAUUAUUUUUAAAAAAUCUAUUUUUUUAUAUUAUUUGUUUUCUUUCUUUUUAUUUUCCUUCUUCUCGGCUAGUUGCCAACCAUGGCGCCGAUUGCGCCUGAUAACAAGCACCGGAUGAGCUAGCCCAAGGCCAAGAAGACUUGAGAUUGCUGAUUUGGCAAGCUUGAAGCUGGUCAAGUGCAAGCUCGAGUUUCGCCCCGUGGCUAGUCGCCAACUACCACCGUGGCUAGCGUUCGGUCGAGGAAGAAGAAAAAGAAAAAUAAGUAAAAAUCUGAAUAUUUUGUAAUCUUCUAUAGGGAAAUCAAAUAAGAUUUUUCAUAUUAAACGAUAAAAAAUAUUUUCUAGUUUAUUUUUAAGACUUAACCAAAUAUUGAAAAUGACUUUUUGUAAAAUAUUAUUCAAAUAUGUCAUAUUUUUUGCGAAACAAACGGUACAUAAAUUUAAAUUUGAUAAUUGUCCUUGUUAAUUUGGUACACAUUAUCUGUCUCUUUGUUUUGUUGCUGAACUGAUGCUAAUCUCUAGAUGAAGCUUGACUAGUUUCAAUAGGCGGCUUGACUUUUGCGCUUCCUUUUUUUUAAAACCCAAAACACUCAAAACUUUCGUGAUACACGACUUUCGACAUGCAGAGUUACAAUCACUUCAAAUAAUUUAUCUGAAAAUUGUAUAGUGGGCCAUCCGAGAAAGGUGAGGGCAACUUGUCCCCCUAGAAAUUGUCAUGACGUGGAACUCUUGACAUGAAUUGAAGUGACUUUUGUUAAGAGUUAACUAGUCAAGAUCGGGCCACAUCUGUCCAUUCAUGUCCGCCACAUCCGGCCCCUCCAAUCGGACUCCCCGGCGAAAAGAUUCACGGACACGUGGCUGGAUCUAGAAAGUCACGGGUUUGACUUGUCUUUUGUGUCACUAUCAAGAAUGUGCAUGGUCCGGACGGGCGAUUCCCGACCUAGAAUCGGGAACUGCUUGCUAAGGACCGAUUCCAAAACAUUGAAACGGAGAUCCACCAGUUAGUUGAAUGAAUCCACUUGGGAACCAGAUCGCUGAUUCAGUCCGAUUUCUAGGUGGAUCUAUGGAACCGAUCUUGACGCUAAAUAAUUUUAUUUUCAAUAUAGAACGACUACGUGAUUUCCAUAACAACAGCUGGAGAGGUUGUAGAAGGAUAUCAUGGUAGGCACUUACGAUAAUCGUGAGGAAAUGAUAGCAAUUUUGGUUAAACUUGUUUUCUAUCAUGGCUAUCAUGGGUCGAAUAAAAUUUUGCAAGCAAAUUUCGUGUCCUAGGCAUUUUUUUUCUCUUAGGUGUGAUGCUUUAAAAACCCUCUAUGUGAUGCUUAGGAACCUUUGUUUGUGAUGAAGCCUAAAGAUUUAUUCCUUGUUGUGGACUUGUUGUCCUACAUCAAAAUCUCUCAGUCAAACUUUUUUGCUUUGUUUUGGUAAGUCUGUAUAAGGUAUAUUACAGAAGUUGCAUUACGAGAUAUUUCUUCCUUAUUGUCUUUUUAGUUUAACUAAGGCCAAAUUGUUUUGGCAUUUUUCCAAGCAUUUCAUUAUGGAAUGAUGAUAAGAAGCGAUCUUGACUUAAUGCUUUUAGUUAUUUGAUUUGGAUUUAUUAAUUAGUAAUUUCAUUUUUUAAUAUUAAAAAUUAAUAUAUUAUUUUAAUAUAAUCGGUUCGGUCUAGGUGGGCGGGUAGAUAGAUCCGCUCAUGGAACUGGGAACCAGACUGGUACUCACCGGUUCCCAUAAAUUGGAAUCGAGAACCGGACCGGUUCCCUUAAAAACUACCGGUUCUGGGCGGUCCAAGCGGGUUUCGGUUAUUUUGCACAAAGAAUUAAAAAUUCAAUUUUUUUUAAAAAUAUUUUAAAAAGAAUUAUAAAAAUUUUCAUUAAAUUUGUAUUGCAUAAAAAUGUUUUAACAAUACUUUUUUUUAAAUAAAAAAAUCAUAAAAACGAGCUUUUUAAGGGUUAAUUAUUUUUUUUAUGUUAUUGUUUUUAGUUAUUCAAAGGUAUGUUUACUUCAAAUAAGGGAAGCAUGUGCAUAGUUUAAUUCUUUAUAAAUAUUUAAAUGUUUUUUUAAACUUUUCUUAUUUUAUUUUAUUUUCUAUUUUUAAUUUAAUUUGAAGAUUUAAUCUAAUUAGCAUAUAAUAGAAGUGGAUUUUCCUAAAAUAUUAAGAGGUUUUAGCAAUACGAGUUGGAUCGGGUAUGUGUCGGGUAUAUAUGAAUAUGGAUCAGAAUAAGUUAAAUAGAUCAAAUAUGAGUUCAUUCGUUUUCGACCGGACUCAAAUCCGGCUUGAUCCGGUUUCGACCCAACCCAAAUCCGACUCGAUCCACUCAUUUAACGGGUCUAGAUUGAAUUGACGUAAGCACGUGCGUCUUCGUAGCUACUGCCGCUCCCCUCCUAUAAAUCUCGGCUCGCCCGACAUCUUAGCCAUCGUCACGGUGCAGUGCAGGGAACGAGCGAGCUCGAGCUAGACGACGGCAAUGGCAGCGUCGACGACGACGGUGGGGAGGAUCAAGCUGGGGUCGCAGGGCAUGGAGGUGUCGGCGCAGGGGCUGGGCUGCAUGGGCAUGUCCAUCGGCUACGGCCCUCCCAAGCCCGACCCCGACAUGAUCGCCCUCAUCCACCACGCCGUCGGCUCCGGCGUCACCUUCCUCGACACCUCCGACAUCUACGGCCCCCACACCAACGAAAUCCUCCUCGGAAAGGUCGGUUCUCUCAGUCUCUCUUUUGCCUCCGCAUGAAUCAUACGUGCUUAUAGUGUUACGGAAUUCAGCUUCAUCGAGCAGGAUGCUCCGAUCCUGCGCCUUGGUUUUCUGAUUUCGGGGUUGAUUUUGAGCAGGCACUGAAGGGAGGGGUGAGGCAGAAGGUGGAAUUGGCGACCAAGUUCGGAGUCAGCUUCGCGGACGGGAAGAGGGAGAUCCGGGGCGAUCCGGCGUACGUGAGGGCUGCUUGCGAGGCCAGCUUGAGGCGGCUCCACAUCGAUUGCAUUGACCUCUACUACCAACAUCGCAUCGACACUCGCGUCCCCAUCGAAGUCACUGUAUGGAUCCCACAUCAAACCUUUACCUCUCUCGGGACUUUCUCCGAGUGAUCAGUUGCUAAAUUAGAAUGGUGUUGAUGAUGCAUCAUCAUCAAGAUAUCGUUAAAUGUGACUUGAGUUCAGAUGAUAGCAGAGUUCAAGAUGUGGCACGGUGUUGUUCAAGGGAUUGCGGAAUUUAGUAGUUUAUAUGGCUUGAGUUUUUGUUUUAUGGGUCAACAAGCAUGAAAAUUAUUCGAAAUCCAGGGUUCACCCUGAUUUAUAUCUGAGAAUCACAUUUGAAGUUGUUCCUGGACUUUCUGCGCAGACAUUUGGUUCUUGACUUGUCAUUGUGAAAUAUGACAAGUACUUGGAAUACUUCUUUAAUUUGCCUUCUUCUGUGAUAGAUUAGAGAGAUCCAUUUCCGUUAACGAUACCUUGCCAUUUUCUUGUUGCAUUGAGAUGCAUAAAGAUUGACUAUUUUUUGCUAGGAGCUACCUAAUCAAAUUGUAAUGUUUGAGAAGUCAGGGAACACAAACUAUUCAGGCAUCAGGACACAAGAAAAACUAAUGAUGUUCAAUAACUUCUGGAUCUUAACACGUAAGAUUUUGACGAUUGUUGUUUUGUCAUGUGAAUAUGCACAGGUUGGAGAGCUAAAGAAGCUCGUUGAAGAGGGUAAGAUAAAGUACAUCGGUUUAUCCGAGGCCUCUGCAUCAACAAUCAGAAGAGCACAUGCUGUUCAUCCCAUCACAGCAGUGCAAUUGGAGUGGUCGCUUUGGUCAAGAGAUGUGGAGGCAGAGAUCAUUCCCACGUGCAGGUAGGAUAUCACUGUUUAUUUGUUUAUGCAGUAACAACAUCUUUCUUCUGACUCUGCUCUUCCUUAAAAUGUUGACUAGGGAGCUUGGCAUUGGAAUUGUUGCCUACAGUCCUCUUGGACGAGGAUUCUUUUCUGUUGGCUCCAAGUUGGUGGAGAAUCUCUCUAAGGAUGACUUCAGACAGGUCUGUUUCUGCUGGUUAACAUAAUUAGAUGCUCACAGUUACUGUCAUUCCCAUUGAAGUGCUGGAAACCUGUUCUUAUUCUAUAAAGAAAAAGUUUGUGACACGAAUGCUUCAUAUUCUUAUUCGAUCCAGCACUUGCCAGUCAUCCCACCUCUCGUGAUUCUAGAUAAAUUUAAAAAUCACAAGUAAUGGCUUUAAUGAGCCUGAAAGGGGCAGUUUUCUGGAUUCUCGUGCUUUUGGGAAUGAACAAAUAUAGGUUUAUUUGUAAGUUGCUCCGUUUCCCAGCUUUCCCACCAUUUGCUUAUCACUAUCCUUUCCCCACUUUCCACCCGCCCUUUUUCUCUCAUAUCUCUUCACAAGAUUAGCAAUAUUUGCUCAAAAUAACCGAGACCAGUAUCGGGCCUUGGCCUCCGUCCUUUUUGUUUCUCAUCUUUCUUCACAAGAUAAAUUAUAUCUUGACACAACCAUUUCUUGAGCGAGGACUCCCUAACACCCUUCUUAUGAGAGUGUUGGGAUCAAGUUCCCAUCUGACAUAAAGCCAAUUGUGUAUUACUCCUGGCCAUUAGUGUUUGAGUAGCGAUAGUGCUGGGCAAGUGAAGUAGCUAUUUUUCUUUGUAGCUAAAUGAGCUUUGCGUCUGAUAACAUUCUUCUACACGUCAUCUACCUUUUGUGAUUUUUUUUUCUUAUGUGUGACUAAUGUUACCAUCACACGUACAAAACUUAGAUUGUCUAGUUUGUUUCUGUUUUCACUUCCUACAUCAAACCCAUCAGCCUUGUGUGGUAGUUGCUAGAUCACUUCGCUCGACGUUUCUAGUUCUUAUGAUUUGGGGCUAGGUAUUUUAAUCAUUUCAAGAUAAUCAUAACUGAUCAUGCUUUUCCAGGUACACAACAAUUGUGCACUUCUAAAUGCUUAUUAGGUCAAGUAACAAGGCAAUCUGUUGGCAUGCAAUGCGAUCACUUUUGCACCUUGCUGCUGUAGAAUUUGGCCUUAAAAGGAAAAUGAUAGUUGCUCAUAUGCUUUCUGCUGAGACAUUGCUCUAUGUUAUGCAGAACCAACCAAGGUUCCAGCCAGAGAACUUGGCUCACAACAUGAAGUUAUUUGACCGAGUGAAUGAAAUUGCGCAAAGAAAGGGAUGCACCACAUCGCAGUUAGCCCUUGCCUGGGUACACUACCAGGGUGAUGAUGUUUGCCCGAUUCCCGGCACGACCAAGAUCGAGAAUUUCAACCAGAACAUUGGAGCUCUGUCAGUGAAGCUUACACCGGAAGAGAUGGCUGAGCUCGAAUCAAUUGCUUCUGCAGACAAUGUCAAGGGUGGCAGGUACAAUGGAAACCUCUCUCCAUGGGAAAACUCCGACACUCCACCCCUUUCUUCUUGGAAACCUGCCUAGAAACAUGUCUACUUCUGUUGCUGCGUCUUUGAUAUGCAGAGUUUGUGCAUUUGCCGCUGAAGUAAUUUGAGGCUAUGUUGUGUGGCUGUUAUAAGUACGUGUAAUAAGAGAGUGACUGUUUUCGUUUUGUACAUGUGACAUUCACUAUGAGAAGAUUAUGGAUAUGUUCUAAGCUUACUGGGGAAAGAUCACCCGCUAACACGAGAGCAAGUUUUUUAUGAACCGAGCUUGCCGUGCCGACUUUAUCGGGGUGACUUUUAGAAUAUGAGAAAUUGGGAUUUUGAAGAAUUCAAACUCAGUCAUACAUACUAGAGUGAUGCUUUAUUCUCCUCCAACUAGUCUUGGUCCAGUUUCCAGAGAGAUUAGGUCGAUCCUUGGUCCUAGAAUUUCAGGACUAGCACUGUGCGGGUCGAUUCUUAGUCCUAAGAGUUCUAGGUCGGUCCAAUCCAAACCAACCUUAUAUAUAUAUAUAUAUAUUAUUUAUAAUUUUUUUAUAUAGAGAAAACCUUAAAACAAACGGCGUCAAUAACAUUAAAGAGUUAUUUAGUAAAGAGUUCAAGUAAUUUUACAUUGUUCUUUAAUAUUUUAGAUUUUUAAUGUCUUUUACGAUAUUAAUAGUCAUAAUUUACGAAGGAGGAAAUUGUUUUUGUAAGGAGUCCUCAUGAUAUCUAAAAAGGUAUAAAUGGCAUCAUUCUUUAGUAUUCGUUCUCUUUGGUUUUAUUCGUUCUCUUAAUUAUCAAUUUGCCAAAAUUGAAAGAAGCAAUCGCUCACUUUGGGUCACUCCUGCCGCUCGCCGCUUAAUGCUCGCUUGGCUUGUUGCUCCAUGCUCGAUAUUCGAUAUUUAUUCUGUUCGACGCUCACCCCACUUGACUCUCGUUGCUUGCCUUUUUUAGUUGACCUUGCUCAUCAUCGAAUCCAUUAGGUCAAUAUGGUCCUCAGUUGCUUUUUCAAGGAUUACAAAAAAUGAAAUAAAAAAUUAUUAAUUAGUCCUAAGUUGACCUUGAAACCAGACCGAACCCAUUGGGUCCGUUUGAUCUUCAAUCGCUUUUUUAAGGUGUACAAAAAAUGAAAUAAAAAAUUAUUGGUUGGUCCCGGGUUGACCCUAGAACUGGACCGAACCCAUUGGAUCAGUUCGGUCAUUGGUCCUAAGCUUAAUAGGGUUGGUUCUCGGUCCAAAAAACUGAGGACCAGCAUUGUGUGAGUUGGUCAUAGGGUUAGGGGGUGAACCGGCCCAACCUGGACCAUACUCACUCCUACCUCUAACCAUGAGUUCAAUACUAGCACCAUGUGCAACAUACUCUUAGGACUGGAUGCUACACAUAGAUACAACGCUUCGCUUUGUGUUUGGUUUCGUAGCGAAGUAAAGGAACAGUAAAAUGCUAUUGGAUGUUCUCGCGAAAAUGAAGUUUGGGAUAAAAUGUUGGCGCGGUUGAUAUGAGUGUCGAGGAAAUCGAAGGUUUCUUGUUCAAGUUUAACCACCUACGGUUCAUGAGCUUUUAUGUAGCUCAAUACCUUCGCUCAUGCCUCUGCAUUAUUAUAAAACAGUCGGAGAUAUUGCGCAAGUUUCCUAAAAUUAAAAACAACAAUUCUAUUGUUUUUUAUUUGGAGUUAGAGUGGAGCAAUGUCGUUUUGUUUUGAUUUAGGAAAAUAACGCAAAUAGUCAUUGAACUUUGGUCCAAUGUGUUAUGUUCUUAUUGAACUUUUAAUUUAUUUAGUAUGACUGUCGAACUUUUUAUACAUGUUUAAUUUAGAUCCUAGGCUAGAUAAAUCCAACGAUGCUGUGUUUGGUCGUUCGAACAUCUUUGCUGUAUGGGAUAAUGAAUGGAUGAAAAUCCCAUCUAAUAUUUCUUGACGUCUGGAUAUAGCAUGAUUCAAAAUAAAUCUUUUUUUUUUUAAAUGAGUGUUUGAUUUGUAUAAUUAAAAUUAAAAAUAAACCAUGGAAGUCGUGAAUAGUAUUCAUCCUUUCACAAUCUUCAUCGAUAUUAAACACCCCCGUUCCAUGUGACUUCAAGGACGCUCUCUCCUUCUGCAACGCCCCUUUCGCUGCCCUUGAUCAACUUGAUGGAUUACGCUCGCUCUACCUUUGACUUCGCCACAUUGAGAGGCCCUUGGGUUUGAGUUCUCCGCUGGUCUAGCCAUCUUUACUUCGAAUGCCUUUUCCUGCGAUGAAUCCAUCCCCUUCGACGAGUGCGAAUACUGCGUUGAUUCCCUGUUACCGUGCCCCGACUUGUUCAGUCGCUUCAACAGCUUCCCCCGAGACAGCGUGCGGAUCCGGUUUAUGAGUGGUAGCACCAUCGGUGCUACUCGCUCCGAGUGACGUGGUUGAAGAGCUCUAUCACCUUGGCUGCCGCCUCUUUCGGAUCAUCUUCUUCACAGAGAAGAUGUCCAGCUUUGAUCGGGAUCACAAAGUUCCCUACUAAAAUGGAGUUAAGUGACAUAAGAAAGAGGCAGGGCUGACGAGCUCCGACGCCACUUUUCCGAGGCAGCCAAAGGUGGUAAGCAGCUUGUCACUGGUAGGAGGAACGGUGGCCCUUAGACUUUGCUCAGGUCGUUGUGGCGAGGGCUUCUCUAGGUAUCUUCGCGAUACUCAUGCUCUAAGUUUGUGGUGGUCAUUUUAGUGAGAGAAAUUGAAACAAGAGAGAUGAUGCGGCACCGGUCAAAAGUGAGGAUAAGCCAUCAACAAGCGCAGGAGUGGGGGAAAAACUUGUAUCCCUUAUUUUUUUCAAUUUUCCAAAUUUCACAUAUCCUAUUUGGAUCUAUAUCACUUUCUAGAUGAGAUUUUUUAUCCGGACUAUAUCCAAAUUUCACGUUACUCUAAACACCGGAUAUGAUCAAACUUAUCAUAUCAGAGUUUUAUUCGGCCCAUCAAAGACAGACUUAUGAGAUAGAAUGCAAUGAUAUAAUCUAUGAAUUAGAUUAAACAUUUAUUAAAAGUUUAAGAAUAAUAUUUCACAUUUUGAUUGUUAGGAUGCACGAGUGAGUUAUGUUAAAACAAUCCCACAAUAUAUUGAUAGCUUUGUAAUAAGGCUUUCUCUUGGUGAUGACAUAGAUCCAUAUGGAGAAAUUAAUGGGAGGGUUUAUUUGGCCUAACUAAAUGGGAGGCUAUAUCAAUCGGAGCUUUUUCAUUGUAACAUUCCCUUGUGCUUGGUAUUUGUAUUUUAGUAAAAGGAUUUUGCUAGCAUAAUAAUCUUUGGGUUAUCAUGAGAAUAACAAUUUAUUAUGAUUUACAAAAUUUUAAAAUAGUAAACCUCAAUUCAAUUUUAAACUUUUUUUUUUCUAACUAAUUCAAUCCUAAAUAUUUUGCAUUUGUGACAAUUUAGUCUAUUCGGCCAUUUUUCGCCAAGAGGCAUUGAUGUGAACUUUGGCUGAUCGACCAAUGCUGACAUGGACAAUUUUUUUAAUAAUAUUUUAUUUUUCUUAUUUUUUAUUAAUUUUUUCUUUCUUUUUUUCUUCACUUCCUUCUCCUUCCUCCAGCCAGUCGGCAAGAGGCAAGGUUGGUGAGGGACCUUGCUGGCCUUGAGGAAGCUUGGCCAUGGUUGGGCAACCUUGCUCGUGGCUAGGCGACCUCGCCGAGGCCGCCGAUUGGGCUGGCGAGGGUUGACCCUCGUUGGCCAUAGGUCAGGACAAAGGCUGCUAGUUGGGCUUGCCCUUAUUGAAUCUGGUGAGGGUUGAGUCUCAUUGGCCAUGGGCAAGGUCAAAGGCCGCGACCUCUCGUGGUCUCUGGCGAGGCUUGCCAAAGGUUGAGCAAGGCUUACCCUCAUUGGACUGACGAGGGUUGAGCCUCGUCAGCCAAGAGCGAGAUCGUAACUUGCCCAUGGCCGGUGAGGCUCGCCUAGGCCAAAGACAGGCGGGGCCUUGCCUAACCAUGGCAAGGGUGGCCUCACCAUUGUUGGGUGAGGCUAGCCCUUGCCAGUGGCGUGUGGGGGUAAGCCUUGCCAUUGGUUGGCAAGGCUGACUUCACUGGCUUGAAUAAAAUAAAAUAUUAUUAAAAGAUUAUUCACAUCAAUAUUAGCCGAACGAGUGGUGCUCGUCGGCCAAAAUUGGCCGGAUGAAUUGAAUUAGUAUAAUUGCAAAAUGUUUAGGACUGAAUUGGCUAGAAAAAAAAAAGAUUUUAAGACUAAAUUAGAAAAAUUGCAAUAAGUUUAUGAUUGUUUUGGUAAUUUUUUCGUAUAAUAACCCUAGUAAAGAUGACUCACUUAAUUUGAGCGUCAAUAAAUCAAAGGUCACUUGUUUAGUUCUCACAACUUAUUUGUAAAUCACUUUAGAAGUGCAAAUCCAAUCAAUUUAUGAGCUUGCAAAAUGAGUCUCUAGAUAAACCAACUUUUGUAUUCGUGCUUCAGGAUUAUAAUAAAAUAUUAGAGGUUUUCAUCAGUGUAUCAUGAUAGGCUAGAUAGGGCGUUUUCUUUUGCACUUGUCAUACAUGAUCAUUUUGUAUCCUUUGAACUCAUGUUAUUUGUUGGUACUAGGUUGAGUGGUAAUAUGAUCUCCUACCUUAUACUUAGAUAUUUCAUUUAUUAGGCUUCGCCUCACUCCUUUUUUUCUUUUUUUUUCUUUUUUGUUGUAGGAUGAUUCCCCUAAAGAUGGUGACGGAGGGGCCGAGUUGAUAUCGGAAGCCAUUAAUCCUUGAGUUGGAUGGUAGUUUAGUUAGUAUGGAUGUAAUGGUAUUAGGUGACCCCGAUCUUUCCUAGGACUAUAAAAUUUUUUGUGAUAAUUACUAUCGAUAUUGUAUAAAGCCAAAGACACUUUUUUUUUUAAUAAACUCAUGCAUUUUUCUAGUAAAGGAUGUUGUGAAAACUUUAUUGUCUUUUCCAUGCGUAAUUAUAACUAUGAGUAUAAAUGGAAAUGACAUGUGCCGCAUGUGAUGUUCCAAGGCGUCACAUAAUCCCCAACACUCAAAUUAGGGUCCAUUAAGGCAGUGCUUAAAACUAUGAUGCUCAAGUUCUAUUCGGCAGCACUUAGGCUCGGGUCCAACAAGAUCGUGUGUCAGUCCUCAAUGCUCGGGCUCGGCUCGUUAGUUAAUAAAAUGUUGUUCUUAUAAAAAUAAUUCUUUUUAUUUUCAUUUUAUAUUCAUUUGUUUUCUUUCUUUUUCUUUCUCCUUCUUCUUGGCUGGUUGCCGACCAUGAUGACGAUUGCGCCUGAGAACAAGCGAGAGAUGAGCUAGCCCAAGGCCAAGAAGACUUGAGAUUGCUGAUUUGGCAAGCUUGAAGUUGGUUGAUCAAGUGACGCUAAAGCUCCCUAGCGUUGGGCAACCUCGAGUUUCACCUCAUGGCUAGUCGCCAACUACCACCGUGGCGAGCGAUCGGUUGAGGAAGAAGAAAAAUAAAAAUAAAAUUAAAAGAGAAAAUAACUAAAAAUCUGAAUAUUUUGGCAUUUUCUAUAGGGAAAUCAAAUCGAAAAAAUAUUUUCUAGUUUAUCUUUAGGACUUAACCAAAUAUUGGAAAUAUUAUUCAGAUAUGUCAUAUUUUUUGCGAAACAAACGGUGCGUAAAUAUUUAGAUUUGAUAAUUGUCCAUGUUAAUUAGGUACACAUUAUCUCACUCUUUGUUUCGUUGCCGAACUGAUGCUAAUCUCUAGACGAAGCUUGACUAGUCUCAACUCAAUAGGCGGCUUGACUUUUGCGCUUCCUUUUCUUCUUUUCUUUUUUCUUUUUAACUCAAAACACUCAAAACUUUCCUGGUACACGACUGUCGUCGUGUUACAAUCACUUUCAAUAAUGAUGGCCAUCCGAGCAAGAUGAGGGCGACUGGUCCCCCUAGAAAUUGUCAUGACGUUUGACUUUCAUGAAUUGAAAUGACUUUUCUCUGUCAAGGAGAAAAAUAGUUAACUAGUCAAGAUCGUGCCACAUCUCUCCAUCCAUGUCCUCCACAUCCGGCCCCACCAAUCGGACUCCCCGACAAAAAAAAUCGAGGACACGUGGCUGGAUCUAGAAAGUCACAGGUUCGACUUGUCUACUGUUAUCACUGUCCUUUUGCAAUAAUUUUUUUACACCCGUCUAGCUGUUGUGAGCUCCUCUGACAUACUAAUUGUGUGGAUAUGGUGAACUUGGGACCUUCUAUAAUCUGUCCAUAUUAAAAAUUUAAAAUGGACAAAUUCCGCCUCUCAUUGUGGAAUUCCACCCACAUUUCUCGCAAACUUUCAAACAUUAGUUCCAGGUCGUGCAUUCCAAUUGAGCCUUGUCUGGUCAAAUAUCAAAGUACUCUAGAGAAAAAUUUUAAAAAAAAUUGUAAAAAAGAGAGAGAAGGAAAACGAUUCAGCCUUAUAAUAACUUGCUAGGAACCACGUAGUUAAUUAGAGCAUCAAGAAAUUAGAGGUAGCUUGUGUAGUUCUCGCAAGUUACUUGUAAAUUGCUUUAGAAGUACAAACUUAAUUGAUUUAUGAGCUUGCACCAUAUUUUAUGAGUUUCUGAAUAACCAACUUUUGUAUUCAUGCAACUCACUCCGCUGUGACUGAGUUGGUUCGGACGUUCCCUCCUCUUCCAAUUGGGGGGAGGUUUGAGUCACCACGAUUGCAUUUGCGCAACUUAAGUGCGGCGCCAUGAGAGGUGGGUCCCCGUGCUAGCGUCACCGUGGGUUUACGUCGCCAGCUGCCGGUUGUACGGCGAUUCUCAAGUCAUAAAAAAAAAAGAAAAAAGAAAAUUUGUAUUCAUGCUUGUAGAUUAUAAUAAAAUAAUUGGUUGUGGUGGGCAAUUGAGAGUGACACCGUUUUCGCCUUUUAUUUUUUGUAAUAUGUGAAGUGUUGUUCUGUUUUUUGUUUUCGUCACCCUCCCACUUGUGCUAUAUUUGUUAGGUCUCCUCGCCAGGAGUUCGUCACUUUAUGUUAUUGACCUCUUAAUUAAAUACAACAAUACCUUCAAGGACUGCUCUUCAUAAAGGCGCGGAUUGGACGGCCGGUGACCGAGAUAGCAGCCUCCGCCCCUCCCUCGGUCUUGCCCUUUGCAUAACUUUUAGAAAACAUGCGUGAUUAGAGGAUCAAUAGUGACUUAAUUCUAACCCGUAUCGAUGUUACCCGUUUAGCAUCUCUUAGUAAAUGUAAAUAUUGUACGCGGAUGACAGCAUUUUGAAGAAUUUACAAUUGGUGUUCUUUUAUUAAAUAUGGUUGAUAUCAUGAAAAAUCUUAGAUUGAUACAUUUGCGACAAACUUAUCCCAAACUAUUUUUUUUACACAAAAACCGUAAACUAGUAUAUUUGUAAUUUUACCUAAAACUAUUUUUUUUUAUCGUCAAAAACCUCAAACUGAUAUAUUUGUAGCAAAAUUACUCUUUACUAACUAGUGUUAAAUUAUACUAAUAUGAAUUGGUACAUCUAUGACAAACGAAGGGUAAAAUCCUAAAUUGGUACACUCAUUAACUAUCAUAUGUCAUUUAACUCAGUAAUUUAAUAGUACAAUUUAAGGGAAAUUAACGGAGGGUCAAUUUGUCAUAGGUGUAUCGGUAUGAGAUUUUUGAUAGCAAAUGUAGGAGUUUUACAUGGUAUUAAACUCUAUUGCAUAUGAUCAAAAGUCCUAGUUUCUACUAUUUUUGUCGACACAAUACCUUAAAAAACCUCAAACUUAAGCUCUGAUCCUAAUUCUAUCUUUUGUGUUAUAAGACCUCCAACUUUAGAUCAUGUCCCAAUUCCACCCUAACAUACAUAUUUUAGAAAACCCCAUAUUUUAGUUAUAGUCCCAAUCUUAUCUAAACAUCUGUUAUCUCAUAAAAUCCCUCAAAUUUAGGUCAAGUACCAAUUCCAACCUAAACGUUAUUUUGUCUUAUAAAAAGAAUCCUAGCUUUAGGUCCAAUUUCAUUUUCACUUUUUUUUUUUAUCUCAUAAAAGAUUACCAACUUUUACUUGAGUCCCAAAUCCACUCUCCAUUAACCCUCCAUCAAAAUUGCCCUUAGUGAUUUUGUGCUCGGUUUUUGAUCUCGCGUGCUUGGAAAUAUUUCAUUUCUCUUGAACAACUUGUGCUUGAGGGUUUUCCAUCUCUCGAUGUCAGCAGGAAAUUUUGCACGAAGGGUUAAUGGUGGCAAAUAUGCGACUCAAGUAAAAAUUUAUAGUUUUUUCAUCAGACUAUAAAAAUUUUACGGUAAUAUUGAGAGUGGAUAGGCUUUUCAUAAGACAAGAAAAGGUUUAAGGUAGAAUUAGUAUAUUAUUUAAAAUUGAAUUGUGAAUGGCUAUAAAAUUAGUGAUUUUUUUUAUGAGAUAAAAGGUAAAAUUAGGAGAAAAGCUAAAGUUAGAGAGUUUUUUUUAGGGUAUCAAACCUAUUUUUGUCAAUCAUAUGAUGUCAACAUUAUCUUUGUUUUUGUUUUUCUUUCAAUUGUCCAUUUGGUCGGUUCUUUUCUAUUCUUAUUCUCAAACUUUUGCCUUGACUCAUUACAAGUGUGAGAAUUGAAACCACAUUUGAUACUAUAUUGUCCCCCGGUAGGCAUUCAAAACCCCCAUCUCCCGCUUCUCAUGUAAGUUAUGAAUGGAGCCUUCGUGUCGUGUCCGACACGCUCGAAGAUGCGGUCAAUACGUGUUCGAAAUCCGACACGUGAACAAUUCUUAUUGACACAUUCUAACACACAAGUCCGAGAGAGAGGAUCGUUGAAGAAAACAAUGGCAAGGGAGCGAAGGCAACGGCAAGGCCACGACGGUGAGAGAGGGCUAGAGGAAGAGUAGAGACCGAGAUGACCUAAAGAGAGGAUCGUGACUGCAAUGGAGGGCCGGUGGCGAGACUGCACCUAUGUAGGAGGAAGGGUUGGAGGUGAGGCGGCAAGCGAUUAUGACAAGGCAAUCAAGAGAGAGAAGAGAUUGAGAGGUGGAUGGUCGUGCGAGGAGGAGGGGAAGGCCAGGGCUAGGGUUUUUGAAGGGGGAAAAUCAAAAAAUUAAAAACAUGAUUUUGAUGGGACAUUAGGGUUGUGCAAGGAGGAGGGGAAGGCCAGGGCUAGGGUUUUUGAAGGGGAAAACUCAAAAAAAUUAAAAACAUGAUUUUGAUGGGACAUUGCUGUGAUUUCUCCUUUAUGGAGAGGGGGAGCGUGUCGGGAGGUGGAGGGGGAGGGCAGAUAAAUGAGGGAAAGAUGAGUGAAAUAAGUUUGUUGGGGGCACAAAAGGAGGGGUUGGUAGGACCUGAGCAAGUCCUUAGACUGCUCCGUCUGGUCGGAAAUAGCCCACGGACGUAAAAUGUGGGCAAUGUUAAUCGUGGGAGAUCAGACCACCCUGUGUAAGGAUCUCCUGGCUCAGAUUCCCGCGAUGCCUUUCUCCUAACAUAUUAGGCUGGGUACAGGAAAAUGAUGAGUGAAAUAAGUUUGUUGGGGGGGGGGGGCACAAAAGGAGGGGUUGGUAAGGGUUGGCAUGGACCCCAUGGAUUUUUAUUUUUUUUUAAUCAAAAAAAUAAAUAAGGAAGGCCAGAAAGUGGGGGAAGAAACUAUGGAAAGAGAGUGAAGUAAAUGUGGGGGUGAGGGUUGGGGUGGACCACGGGGGUCUUUUCUUAUCAGAAAAAUAAAUAAGAAAAACUAUAAGGUGAUUUCGGAAAAUGAAAGUGUUGAAUGUUGAAUAAUAAUAAAAUUUGAUAAUUGUAAAAGAUUAUAGAUUUAUUUAAAUAAGUUAAUUCUAAUUUUUCUUAAUCAUUAGUUUUAUCAAUAAUUUUUGUUAGAGUUAGAAAUAUGUUCGUAUGGAUGCUAUAUGGCAUAUGGAAAGGGUGGCCUCACUUCUGGCGUUUCAUGUAUGGAAAGAGUGAUUAUUAAUGGCGCAUUUGGUAACGUUUUUGUUUCGGAGGACAAUUUUUGAAUAGAAAUAGUUUUUUUUUUUGUUCUAGGGAAUAAUUUUUGAGUAUAAGAAUGUGUUUGGUAACUGCAAACAAUUUCUACUCUAAAAAUAGAAACGCGCUUGGUAAACUUGUAUAAUUUCUUUGUUUCUUUUAAUUUUUUAAUAUUUUUAAUAUUUUUUUUCUUUUUUUCUUUUUUCUUUUUCUCUUUGGUCGGUUGCUGGCUAUGGCGAUGUCCGUUGAGCCUUGUCCAGGCAACGCGAGGUUCGCCUCGUGCCGAUUGGGGAGGUCAAGGCCUCUUGGCUUUGUCUGGGCUAAGCGAGGUUGACCUUGCCCAGCCACCGGCGAGACUCGGCCUCGCUGGGCCACCGCUAGGCGACUCUGUCCUGGAGGUGGCUCGGCGAGGUCGAGCCUCAUGCGGCCAUGGCGAGGCUCGGCCUCUCUGGGGGCUAGCGACACUCCGGCGAGGUCGUCGGCUCUCGUCUAGCCAGUUGCCGGUGUCAACUAUGGCUAAGGCUGAUGACNNNNNNNNNNNNNNNNNNNNNNNNNNNNNNNNNNNNNNNNNNNNNNNNNNNNNNNNNNNNNNNNNNNNNNNNNNNNNNNNNNNNNNNNNNNNNNNNNNNNCGUCUGGUCGAAAACAGCCCAUGGACGUAAAAUGUGGGCAAUGUUAAUCGCGGGAGAUCGGACCACCCUGUGUAAGGAUCUCUCGGUUCAGAUUCCCGCGAUGCCCUUCUCCUAACGUAUUAGACUGGGUACAGGAAAAUGACGAGUGAAAUAAGUUUGCUGGGGGCACAAAAGGAGGGGUUGGUAAGGGUUGGCAUGGACCCCAUGGACUUUUAUUUUUUUAUCAGAAAAAUAAAUAAGGAAGGCUAGAAAGUGGGGGAAGAAACUAUGGAAAGAGAGUGAAGUAAAUGUGGGGGUGAGGGUUGGGGUGGACCACGGGGGUCUUUUCUUAUCAGAAAAAUAAAUAAGAAAAACUAUAAGGUGAUUUCGGAAAAUGAAAGUGUUGAAUGUUGAAUAAUAAUAAAAUUUGAUAAUUGUAAAAGAUUAUAGAUUUAUUUAAAUAAGUUAAUUCUAAUUUUUCUUAAUCAUUAGUUUUAUCAAUAAUUUUUGUUAGAGUUAGAAAUAUGUUCGUAUGGAUGCUAUAUGGCAUAUGGAAAGGGUGGCCUCACUUCUGGCGUUUCAUGUAUGGAAAGAGUGAUUAUUAAUGGCGCAUUUGGUAACGUUUUUGUUUCGGAGGACAAUUUUUGAAUAGAAAUAGUUUUUUUUUUUGUUCUAGGGAAUAAUUUUUGAGUAUAAGAAUGUGUUUGGUAACUGCAAACAAUUUCUACUCUAAAAAUAGAAACGCGCUUGGUAAACUUGUAUAAUUUCUUUGUUUCUUUUAAUUUUUUAAUAUUUUUAAUAUUUUUUUUCUUUUUUUCUUUUUUCUUUUUCUCUUUGGUCGGUUGCUGGCUAUGGCGAUGUCCGUUGAGCCUUGUCCAGGCAACGCGAGGUUCGCCUCGUGCCGAUUGGGGAGGUCAAGGCCUCUUGGCUUUGUCUGGGCUAAGCGAGGUUGACCUUGCCCAGCCACCGGCGAGACUCGGCCUCGCUGGGCCACCGCUAGGCGACUCUGUCCUGGAGGUGGCUCGGCGAGGUCGAGCCUCAUGCGGCCAUGGCGAGGCUCGGCCUCUCUGGGGGCUAGCGACACUCCGGCGAGGUCGUCGGCUCUCGUCUAGCCAGUUGCCGGUGUCAACUAUGGCUAAGGCUGAUGACUGGCAAAAGGAAGAAGAAGAAGAAGAAGAAGAAGAAAAGAAAGAGAAAAUAGAAGAAGAAAAAUGAUAAGAAAAAAAAGUGUUUUUCGAAAGUGUUCUCGAGAAUAAGAAAUAAGUUUUUUUUUUUAAUUUCUUAUUUUUGUUCCAAAGUUGCUCUCACAAUAAAAAAAAAAGACCAGAAUAAAAGUAUAAACAAAUGAGUUUCUAUUCUUUUUUGGUUCUCUGGAACAAAAUAAUAAAAAUUUAUAUUCCAGGAAAAAAAAAUAAUUUUAAACGAACACACCCUAAGAUAUCUUUUGUAUUCCGGGGAAGUAGUUCAAUUGACGUGAGCCCGUGCGUCUUCCCUACAUGGGAAGGGUCGUCACUGGGUCUCAUCUGACCUAAGCAAGUGCGUCUUCACAGCUUUUACCGCUCCCCUCCUACACUUCGUAGCUACCGCCACUCCCCUCCUAUAAAUCUCGGCUCGCCCGACGCCUUCGCCAUCGUCUCGGUGCAGUGCAGGGAACGAGCGAGCUCGAGCUAGACGACGGCAAUGGCGGCUUCGACGACGACGGUGAGGAGGAUCAAGCUGGGGUCGCAGGGCCUCGAGGUGUCGGUGCAGGGGCUGGGCUGCAUGGGCAUGUCCGCCUUCUACGGCCCUCCCAAGUCCGACACCGACAUGAUCGCCCUGAUCCACCACGCCGUUGGCUCCGGCGUCACCUUCCUCGACACCUCCGACAUCUACGGCCCCCACACCAACGAAACCCUCCUCGGAAAGGUCGGUUCUCUCUCAGUCUCUGUUUUGCCUCCGCAUGAAUUAUAUGUGCUUAUAGUGUUACGGAAUUUAGCUUCAUCGAGCAGAGUGCUCUGAUCCUGCGCCUUGGUUUUCUGAUUUCGGGGUUGAUUUUGAGCAGGCACUGAAGGGAGGGGUGAGGCAGAAGGUGGAAUUGGCGACCAAGUUCGGAAUCAGCUUCGCGGACGGGAAGAGGGAGGUCCGGGGCGAUCCGGCGUACGUGAGGGCGGCUUGCGAGGCCAGCUUGAAGCGGCUUGACAUCGAUUGCAUCGACCUCUACUACCAACAUCGCAUCGACACUCGCGUCCCCAUCGAAGUCACUGUAUGGAUCCCCCAUCAAACUUUCACCUCGCUUGAGACUUUCUCCGAGCCAUAUGAUUAGUUGCUAAGUUAGAUUGGUGUUGAUGAUGCAUCGUCAUGUUGUUACAAGUUUGUUGAAAUUUGUUAAAUGACACUUAAGUUCGGCUGAUAGCAGAGUUCAAGAUGCGGCACGUUGUUGUUCAAGGGGUUGUGGAAUUUAGUAGUUUAGUGGCUUGAGUUUUCGUUUUGUGGGCAUCUUUUACAAGUUAAGGGUCAACAAGCAUGAAAAUUAUUCAAAAUCUUCCUUUGAGAUGAAAGUGCUCCAGGGUUCAUCCAGAAUUUAUAUACGGGAAUCACAUAUAAAGUUGUUCCUGGACUUUAUGUGGAGACAUUUGAUUCUUGACAUAUUGUGAAAUAUGACAAGUACUUGGAAUACUUCUUUUAUUUGCUCUCUUCUGUGAGAGAUUCAAGAAAUCAACCUCCGUUAACUCAAUACCUUGUGACUUUUUUGUCGCAUUGAGAUGCAUGAUAAUAGAGGGAUCUAGACGCAUAAAAAGCUAAUGACAUGCAUAAUUUUCUGGAUCUUAACAUGUAAGAUCUUGAUGUUGUUGUUCUGUCAUGUGAAUAUGCACAGAUCGGAGAGCUAAAGAAGCUCGUUGAAGAAGGUAAGAUAAAGUACAUCGGUUUAUCCGAGGCCUCUGCAUCAACAAUCAGAAGAGCACAUGCUGUUCAUCCCAUCACAGCAGUGCAAUUGGAGUGGUCGCUUUGGUCAAGAGAUGUGGAGGCAGAGAUCGUUCCAACGUGCAGGUAGGAUAUCACUCUGUUAAUUGUUUAUGCAGCAACAACAGCUUCCUUCUGACUCUGCUUUUCCUUUAAAAUGCUGACUAGGGAGCUUGGCAUUGGAAUUGUUGCCUACAGUCCUUUAGGACGAGGAUUCUUUUCUGUUGGCUCCAAGUUGGUGGAGAAUAUCUCUAAGGAUGACUUCAGACAGGUCUGUUCCUGCUUGUCAACAUAAUUAGAUGUUUACAUUGACUGUCAUUCUUAUUGAAGUGCUGGAAACCUGUUCUUGUGGUAUAAAGAAAAAGUAUCUGGAUGGGAUGAAUAAAACUUGGUGACACGAAUGCUUCGUGUUCUUAUAUGUCUUUAAUCCAGCACUUGCCAGACAUCCCACCUCUCUUGAUUCUAGAUAAAUGUAAAAUCACAAGUAACGGCUUUAAUGAGCCUGAAAGAGGCAGUUUCCUGGAUUCUCGUGCUUUUGGGAAUGAAUACAUAUAGGUUUAUAUGUAAGUUGCUCUGUUUCCCAGCCUUCCCAACAUUUGCUUAUCACUAUCCUUUCCCCACUUUCCACCCACCCUUUUUCUCUCAUCUUUCUUCACAAGAAUAGCGAUAUUUCCUCGAAAUAACUGACGCCAGUAUCGGGCUUUGGCCCUCCGUCCUUUUUCAUUCUCAUCUUUCUUCACAAGAUAAACUAUAUCUUGACACAACCAUUUCUUGAGCGCGGACUCCCGACACCCUUCUUAUGAGAGUUUUGGAUCAAGUUCCCAUCUGACAUAAAGCCAAUUGUGUAUUACUCCCCGCCAUUAGCGUUUGACUAGCGAUAGUGCUGGGCAAGUGAAGUAGCUAUUUUUCUUUGUAGCUAAAAGAGCUCUGCGUCUGAUAACAUUCUUCUACUCAUCAUCUACAUUUCUGAUUUUUUAUUUUAUGUGACUAAUGGUAUCAUCACACGUACAAAACUUAGAUUGUCGAGUUUGUUUCUGUUUUCACAUCCUACAUCAAGCCCAUCAGCCUUGUGUGGUAGUUGCUAGAUCACUUCGCUUGACGUUUCUAAUGCUUAUGAUUUGGGACAUGAUAUUUUAAUCAUUUCAAGAUAAUUUAUAACUGAUCAUGCUUUUUCAGAUACACAACGAUUGCACACUUCUAAAUGCUUAUUAUGUCAAGUAACAAGACAAUCCGAUGGCAUGCAAUGCAACCACUUUUGCACUUGUUGCUGUAGAAUUUAGCCUUAAGAGGAAAAUGAUAAUUUCUCAUAUGCUCUCUGCUGAGACAUUGCUCUAUGUUAUGCAGUAUCUACCAAGGUUCCGGCCAGAGAACUUGGCUCACAACACGAAGUUAUUUGACCGAGUGAAUGAAAUUGCGCAAAGAAAGGGAUGCACCACAUCGCAGUUAGCCCUGGCCUGGGUACACCACCAGGGUGACGACAUUUGCCCGAUUCCCGGCACAACCAAGAUCGAGAAUUUCAACCAGAACAUUGGAGCUCUGUCAGUGAAGCUUACACCGGAAGAGAUGGCCGAGCUUGAAUCGAUUGCUUCUGCGGACAAUGUCAAGGGUGGCAGGUACGAUGGAAGCAUGUCUACAUGGGAAAACUCCGACACUCCACCCCUUUCUUCUUGGAAACCUGCCUAGAAGCGUGUCUGCUUCUGUUGCUGCAUCUUUGAUGUGCAGAGGUUGAGCAUUUGCCGCUGAAGUAAUUUGAGUUUAUGUUGUGUGGCUGUUAUAAGUAUGUGUAAUAAGAGAGUGACUGUUUUCAUUUUGUACAUGUGACAUUCACUAUGAUAAGAUUAUGGAUGUGUACUAACCUUACUGGGGAAAGAUCACUCGAUAAACACGAGAGCGAGUUGAAUACGAACUGAGCCUGCCGUGUCGACUUUAUUGGGGUGACUUUUAGAAUCUGAGAAAUCGGGAUUUUGAAGAAUUCAAACUCAGUCGUACAUACUAGAGUGGUAUUCUCCACCAACCAUGAGUUCAAUCUCUUAAGACUGGAUGCUGCACAUAGAUGCAAAGCUUCGCUUUGUGUUUGGUUUGGUAGCGAAGUUAAGGAACAGUAAAAUGUUACCGGAUGUUCUCGCGAAAACGAAGUUGGGGAUAAAAUGCUGGCGCGGAUGAUAUGAGCGUCGGGGAAAUCGAGGGUUUCUUGUUCAAGUUUCACCACCUACGGUUCAUGAGCUUUUAUGUAGCUCGAUACCUUCGCUCAAUGCCUCUGCAUUAUUAUAAAACAGUCGGAGAUAUUGCGCAAGUUUCCUAAAAUUAAAAACGACACUUCUAUUGUUUUUUAUUUGGAGUUAGAGUGGUGCAAUGUUGUUUUGUUUUGGUUUAGGAAAAUAACGCAAAUAGUCACUACACUUUGGUCCAAUGUGUUAUGUUCUUACUGAAUUUUUAACUUGUUUAAUAUGGUUGUCGAGCUUUUUGUAUAUGUUUAAUUUAAAUCCUAGGCUAGAUAAAUCCAAUGAUGCCGUGUUUGGUCGGUUCGAAGAUCGUUGCUAUAUGGGAUAAUGAUAGGAUAAAAAUCCCAUCUAAUAUUUCUUGACGUCUGGAUAUAACAUGAUUCAAAUAAUUUUUUUUUUAAACGAGUGUUUGAUUUGUAUAAUUAAAAUUAAAAAUAAACCAUGGAAGUCGUGAAUACUAUUCAUCCUUUCACAAUCUUCAUCCAUAUCAAGCACCCCCGUUCCAUGUGACUUCAAGGACGCUCGCUCCUUCUGCAACACCCCUUUCGCUGCCCUUGAUCAACUUGAUGGAUUACGCUCGCUCUGCCUUUUGACUUCGCCACAUUGAGAGGCCCUUGGGUUUGAGUUCUCCGCUGGUCUAGCCAUCUUUAUUUUCAACGCCUUUUCCUGCGAUGAAUCCAUCCCCCUCGACGAGUGUGAAUGCCGCGUUGAUUCCCUGUUACCGUGCUCCGACUUGUUCAGUCGCUUCAACAGCUUCCCCCGAGACAGCGUGCGGAUCCGGUUUAUGAGUGGUAGCAGCAUCGGUACUACUCGCUCCGAGUGACGUGGUUGAGGAGCUCUAUCACCUUGGCUGCCGCCUCUUUCGGAUCAUCUUCUUCACAGAGGAGGUGUCCAGCUUUGAUCGGGAUCACAAAUUUCCCUACUAAAAUGAAGUUGAGUGACACAAGAAAGAGGCAGGGCUGACGAGCUCCGCGAUACUCAUGCUCAUGCUCUAAUUUUGUGGUGGUCAUUUUAGCGAGACAAAUUGGAACAAGAGAGAGAUGAUGGUGGCACUGGUCAAAAGCGAGGAUAAGCUAUAAAAAGCGCCCCGCCGCCCGGGGGGGGGGGGGGGGGGGGGGGGGGGGUCAGUUUUUCAAAUUUCACAUAUUUUAUCUGGAUUUAUAUCACUUUCUAGAUGUGAUUUUUUAUCCGUGCUAUAUCCUAAUUUCACAUUACUCUAGACACCAUAUAGGAUUAAACUUAUCAUAUUAGAGUUUUAUCCAGCCCUUCAAAUGCAGUCUUAUGAGAUAGAAUGCAAUGAUAUAAUCUGUGAACUAAAUUUAAACAUUUAUUAAAAGUUUACGAACGGAAUUUCACAUUUUGAUUGUUAAGAUGCAUGAGUGAGUUAUGUUAAAAUAAUCACACAAUAUAUUGAUAGCUUUAAAAAUGGGCUUUCUCUUGGUGAUGACGUUGAUCCAUAUAGAGAAAUUAAUGAGAGGGUUUAUUUGGCCUAACUAAAUGGGAGGCUAUAUCAAUGGGAGGUUUUUCAUUGUAACAUUCCCUUGUGCUUGGAAUUUGUUUUUUAGUAAAGGAUUUUAUUAGCGUAAUAAUAGUCUUUGGGUUAUUAUGUGAAUAACAAUUUAUUGUGAGUCACAAAUUUUUUAAAGUAAUGAACCCCAUAAUAAUUUCAAUUAUUUGUUACUUGAUUUUUUGUAGUUUAGAAUAAAAAUUAUCACCAAGUUAUUUCUUUUUAACAAAUAUAUUGCUCUAACUGUUGUUUUCAAUUAAGUUUGCAUCGGAGAAGAGAUUAUUUUGUUUUGCUACGCUUGUCGGAUAUUGCACAGGAUAUUGUCAUUUUCUUAGCACUAGCAACGUUGCGUUCAGACAAGGCGGCAUGGAAUUAUUUGCUCAGCUGCACAUCACACGACCAUACAUUCAUGGACUGUUCCUCAGGAAAGCAUAUAGACAUGUGGCAGAUGCAGAACAUUUCACGAGAUUAAAAAAAAGAAAAUAAUUUUUAAAAAACAAUACUUUCGACUUCAAAACGUGCCAAUCGAACGCCUGCUACUCCCGCCUAUAAAGCUCGGCUCACCCAACGGCUUCGUUGUCGUCUCGAACUGUCCAUUCUCCAUUCUCUGUUCUUGCAUCGACCUCGAGCUAGACGAUGGUGGCAAUGGCGUCGUCAGACGGUGAGGAGGAUCAAGUUGGGGUCGUAGGGUCUCAAGGUCUCGGCGCAGGGGCUGGGCUUGCAUGGGCAUGUUGGAAGAUAUGCGGAUUGCCUGAUUUGAUUUGAUCUUAAUUGAUCAUGAUUAAUCACGAUCUUCAUGUAUAUGUAAAUUAAAAAUUAGAUCUAGAUCUCGAUUGAUAAUCCAGAUCAUUUACUUCCUUAUUCAAGAUAGAGCUUGUAUUAUAUCUCUGCAAAAUUGUACAUUCAGAUUGUAAUAGUGAUAAUACAGAAAAAUCUCCCCACAUCGAUUCCCAUUUUCCUCUCCAAACUUCAUCCGUUCUUCCUUCACUCUUGCCUUCUUUCAUGGUAUCAGAGCAGCUUUGAUCUCUGACUCGCUUCCGUUCCAAACCACUGCUGAAGAAAAUUCUCAACCUGCAAAAGGGUUGAUCUUUCGGCAUUAGGCAUACUCUCGAAGGAAGAAAUUUAAAUUAUCUUACUAUGGCCUCUCCGCAGGACUCCAGUCUGGCUGCUGACGACAGGACCACCGAAGAAAGUAGUCCUCAAGCUCCACAGAUCCAGAAUCUCCCUGCAGUAAUACCAGUAUCCACCCAACCCCAGCAGUGGCGGCCCACGCAGGCUCAGUUUCAAUUGGGGCAACCCACGACGGGUCAACCAUACUAGUGGAUCCCCUAUCCACUCUAUUUUGGGCCAAGCCCAAAUUUCUCAUCGCCUUUUUUCGUGGGCCACCAGAAUCACAAUGGAGGCCCGCCAGCCACGAAUGGGGCAAGCCCAUCCAUCGCGAGAGAGCAGACGGGCGGUUCAAGCGAAUCGGGUACGGGGCAUAAUCCCUACCCGGGACAUGUCAAUGCGGGGUAUCUAGUUGGAUUGAGCGAAUCGGGUCAAGGGACGAAUCCCUACCCGAAUUUCGCACCGGGUUUUCUGUCCAUUCCAGCGGCGGCGUUCACUGGGCGACUAGAAAUAGGCGAUCCUCUGUUUGUCUCCACCGCUGACGGAUCGGAGCUUUGACUGAUAAACCAGCAACUAACCGGACUAGAGACCUAUUCGAAGUGGUCACAGGAGCUCCGGCGGGCAUUGGUGACAAAAGACAAAGACGGAUUUCUCGAUGGGACAAUUUCCAUCCCCUCCGAUGAACGCCUAGCCGGACACUGGCGGAAAUGCAAUCAACUCGUCCGAAUGUGGAUCAGAAAUUGCAUAUCCCCAGAAGUCAUGGCUGGGCUUCCACCCACAGAGGAUGCCAAAACCAUGUGGGAAAACAUUCGAGAAAUAUACGGUAAAAUGGAUCAAGCAAAAGUUUUUAAUCUUAUGCAGGAAAUUAGCGAACUCAAACAGGGAAAUUCGACGGUCACGGCCUGCUUCAACAGGCUAUCGUCCCUCCUGAAUCAACUCGAAGCAGUAGAAGAAAAGCUCGAAGGGCCAGAAUCUACCCUCAAGCAGUACAAACAAAUCAAAGAGAGAGAAAAAGCCACGCGAUUCUUGCUGAUUUUAAACGAAUCGUACCUCACGUUUCGGUCACAGAUCCUUGUCAUGGAUCCCAUGCCACCGAUCGGACGUAUUUACAAACUGGCGAUGCAGGAGGAGAGUCAGCGACUCACAAUCACGAACAACGGUGAGAGCAUCGCUCUGGCUGCCCGCGGAGAGGGGAGAACCCUAACCCUAGCUCGUGAAAAUGAAAAGAAAAGCCCUUUAGGGUUCGACGAGCUCGAUUCGCGCGGGCUUAAAAGGGAUGGGAUGAACGGCCAGGAUUACAUGCAAGGAUCGAGCGGCUUAGAUUACUCCCGAAAAUAUGACGGCCCAGAUUACGCAUGGAGAUCCGACGGUCGUCAAGGAAUCGAAAUUGCGCCUGGAUUGGACGGUGGACAGCAGAUCGCGAUCAAAGGAACGGACGGCCAGAUCUUCACCACGUCAUCAAAGAAUUUCGCAAAUUUUUUUAAAGGAAAGGGGUAAAUUUUUUUGCGAUUAUUGCAAACGUACUAAUCAUACCAUUGACAGUUGCUGGAAAUUACACGGGAAGCCGGGAGAAAAGGAGAAAAAAAUUUCCACAGCUUAUCAAGUCACUGGACCAGCUGGUCCAAAAAUUGACCAGCCAAUCUCAUAUGGUCAAUAUCAGCAACUCAUGCAAAAACUACAGAAGAUGGAAAUUUCCAACAAAGGGGGCAAUUUCUCAGGUAUUUCACAUUGCCUAAUUAAUUCCAUUUCCAGGAAGGCGUGGAUUAUAAUUCUGGGGCAAGUGACCAUAUUAUACGCGACAAGGGAUUUUUUUUUCAAAUAUAAAUGAAAGUUUGAAUUUUCCUGUCUCCGUACAAUUACCCAACGGAAAUGUUACUCAUGUCAAAGUGAUAGGAACAGUGAAUCUCAGUCCUCAGAUUAUUCUCUAGAAUGUGCUAUAUGUCCCAGAAUUCCAAUUCAACCUCAUAUCUGUGUCUCAAGUCUGCAAAGAGAACUCAUGCCGGGUAAUAUUCAAUGCUGACACAUGUUUAUUUCAGGCCCUUUCGACUGGAAGACAGAUGGACUUGGGUAAUCUUUCUGAAGGACUCUAUUUCUGGACGAGUUUUCCAAGUAAUUUCAAUUUUCCAUGCAAUUCCUUGAAUAAAAAAUCAUUGUGUAAUUCAACUGCCAAUGAUAGAAAUUUGACUAUGCAUAUGAGAUUGGGUCACAGUGCUUCAUUUUCAUAUCAUGAAUGUCUUAUAUGUCCCCUUGCAAAGCAAUCUCGCACACCAUUUUCUUCUAGUACUUCACGGACUAGUCAAAUAUUUGCAUUACUUCACGUGGACAUUUGGGGACCUUAUCAUACAGUCAAUCAUGAUGGCUCCCGUUAUUUUCUUACGAUAGUAGAUGACUAUUCUCGGGCAACAUGGAUCUUCCUAAUACAAUAAAAAAAUUAGGUCUAUUCUCACCUGAAAAAUUUCAUUAUGCUAUCUAAGAACCAAUUCAGGAAAUCCAUUCAGCGGAUUCGCACAGAUAACGGGAGAGAAUUCUUCAGUCAUGAAUGCUCCCAGUUAUUCAAUUCUCAUGGUAUUCGACACGAAAGUUCCUGCAUUUACUCACCACAACAAAAUGGAGUGGUUGAAAGAAAGCAUCGCCAUCUACUGGAAGUGGCUCGUGCCUUGAAAUUUCAAGCAUCAAUUCCAGAAAGAUAUUGGGGUGACUGUGUCACCAUAGCAGCUUAUCUUAUUAAUAGAAUGCCUACUCGGAUUCUUAAUGGACAGAUGCCAUUCGAGCUGUUAUUUGGGAAGAAACCGGACUUGAAUCAUCUCAAGAUCUUCGGAUGUCUCUGCUAUGCUGCAAUCAUGGGGCCUCGAGAUAAAAUGAGCCCAUGUGCGCGGCGAUGCGUCUUUAUGGGAUAUCCCAAUCUCCAGAAGGGGUAUCGGGUGCUUGAGAUUUCCACAGGAGAAUUCAUAGUAAGUCAUGAUGUCAUUUUCCAUGAAACUACUUUUCCAUUUUAUGAAGGGGAAUCUUCACAUGGAGAUCCAAAGAUAACUUCCAGCCAUCAUAAUUUUCUCAAUGAUGAAGCACCAUACCGGGAUCUUUCCUAUGUACCAAUAGUACAGCCGAGGGAUCCUAUUCUUCCUACAGUCCCAGUUCUACAAGAUUCUAAUGGAAAUUCGAAUUCUUCAGAACAUAUUCAGGGAGAUAUCUUGGAGGAACCCAUUGCUGAUGCAGAAGUUGAUGACACUACAACAACUUCAUUACCAGCAACAUCACAGCCCACCACCGAAGCUGGACAUCCUAGGAGGUCUGAACGAGCUACAAGACCACCAACCCGGACGAAAGAUUAUGUCUGUACUACUCACAACUCUCCAAGUAUUCAGUAUCCAGUCUCUUCAUAUGUUUCCUUUGAUAGAUUGUCUCAAGAACAUAGAUGUUGUAUUAGUCGAUUGUUUGAAGAGAAAGAACCGUCCAGUUAUAAAGAAGCCUCCAAUAACCCAAAAUGGCAAGAGACCAUGAAGGCAGAAUUGAAGGCCCUUACUGAUAAUCAUACAUGGGAUCUUGUUCCAUUACCAGCUCAUCGUAAACCAAUUGGAUGCAAAUGGGUUUACAAAAUCAAGUAUCGGGCUGAUGGCUCCAUUGAACGGUACAAGGCAAGAUUGGUAGCUAAGGGGUUCACCCAAAGAGAAGGUUUUGACUACCACGAGACGUUCUCACCAGUUGCCAAAGAUGUUACAGUCCGUUCAUUCUUAGCUGUUGCUGCCAUCAAUGACUGGCACCUACACCAGAUGGAUGUCCAUAAUGCUUUUCUCCAUGGCAAUCUAGAUGAAGAGAUCUACAUGAAUAUUCCUCAAGGCAUACAGAGACAGGGGGAUAAUAAGGUGUGUCGUCUCCGUAAAUCCCUUUAUGGAUUAAAACAGGCAUCCGGACAAUGGUAUGCUAAAUUUGCCAGUGCUCUUACAACAGCAGGCUUCAAGCAAUCCAAGCAUGAUUAUGCUCUGUUCUAAAAAACUAAAGGUAUGUCAUCUAUCUAUUUGAUGAUUUAUGUCGAUGACAUACUUGUUAUGGGAAAUGAUAGAGCCUCUAUAGAGAAUUUCAAGGAAUAUUUGCAUGCUACCUUCCAUAUUAAAGACUUAGGAGCACCAAAAUAUUUCCUUGGAAUCGAAGUUGCUCGAUCUGACAAGGGAAUUUCCCUUAGUCAGCGGAAGUUCAUUCUAGAAAUCAUAUCAGAAGUAGGUCUAUUAGGAUGCAAGCUAGCUGUAAUUCCUAUAGAGCAAAACACUAAGUUGACCAUCGCAGACUAUGAUAAGGGAAUAUUUCGAAAUGAUGAUUCCUUACUCAGUGAUCCGUCAGGCUAUCAAAGACUUGUUGGGAAACUUAUAUACCUGACAAUGACUAGACCUGAUAUCUUAUAUGCGGUUCAGACACUUAGCCAGUUUAUGCAUCAACCAAAGCGUUCUCAUUUGGAUGCAGCCUUAAAGGUCGUUAAAUAUCUCAAGAAAUGUCCGGGGCUAGGGAUACUUCUCUCUAAGGAAUGUGACAUGAGGAUGACAGCAUAUUGUGAUGCAGACUAUGCAACAUGUCCGAUUAGUCGAAGAUCUGUUACUGGAUAUUGCAUUAAAUUGGGAGGAUCUCUUCUAUCUUGGAAAACCAAGAAACAAGCUACUGUGUCUCUGUCCUCAGCCGAAGCAGAAUAUCGAGCUGUGGCCAAGGCCACUUGUCAAGUAGUUUGGAUGCGAGGAUUACUCAAGGAUCUUGGAGUAGAAGUGCAAGGACCCACAAGGUUAUAUUGUGAUAAUGAUACAGCUCUUAAACUUGCAACUAAUCCUAUAGUACAUGAAAGAACCAAGCAUAUAGAAGUGGAUUGUCACUUCACACGGGAAAAGAUCCAGGAAGGAGUAAUUGAGACGAGGAAUUUGGACAACGGAGCAACCAGUAGACUUGUUCACCAAGCCCCUAUGUCAGAGGCAACAUGCAUAUCUAUUAAAAAAGCUAGGCGUCUUGGACAUCUACAAGCCACCAGCUUGAGGGGGAGUGUUGGAAGAUAUGUGGAUUGCCUGAUUUGAUUUGAUCUUAAUUGAUCAUGAUUAAUCACGAUCUUCAUGUAUAUGUAAAUUAAAAAUUAGAUCUAGAUCUAGAUUGAUAGUCUAGAUCAUUUACUUCCUUAUUCAAGAUAGAGCUUGUAUUAUAUCUCUGCAGAAUUGUACAUUCAGAUUGUAAUAGUGAUAAUACAGAAAAAUCUCCCCACAUCGAUUCCCAUUUUCCUCUCUAAACUUCAUCCGUUCUUCCUUCACUCUUGCCUUCUUUCAGGGCAUAUCUACUUUGCCGGCCCUCCCAAGCCCAACCCCGACACGAUCGAGCUUGUCCACCACGCCGUUGAAUCUGGCGUUGCCUUCCUCGACACCUCCGACAUCUAUGGCCUUAACGCCAAGGAAGUCCUCCUUGGAAAGGUCGGUAUUUAUUUUGUAGAUAUAAUUGAAGAUCUUGAUCGUGACGCCAAUCCUAAUUGCGGACUAAUUGAUUUGGUCAAUUUGUGAUUGUUUAGUGAAUAUGGAAAUUUUUGUAAUUCUUUAUAUAUUAUUUCAUUUUUUCUCUUUCAUUCUUACACUAUAAAUAGACCAAUGAACUAAUAUACAGAUCAAUCAAUAUACAACAAAAUUUUCUUCAUUUUCUCUUUUGUUUUCUAUUAUGUUAUCAGUGUCAUUCUUCCUCGCCUAGCUUCCCAUAUCUUAGAGUUGCCUUUCUUUUUUUCUUUGUUUUUUUUUUUUUUUUGGUUAUUGCAAGUCCUCAUCCUGCAAUACAAAUCAGCAAAUCGAUUAGGAAUUCAAUUUUUUUUUUCAAUACCAAGGCAAAAAAUAAGAACACUGAGAGCUCCAUGAUAGAGGAGACACCUACCUCACCUCAAAAUCAAGCCCCAUCGCCGUCGGAUUCGAUUAUGAUUUGGGACAAUAUAUUUUAAUCAUUUCGAGAUAAUCUUUAACUGAUCAUGCUCUUCCAGAUACACAGCAAUUGCGCACUUCCAAAUGCUUAUUAUGUCAAGUAACAUGACAAUCUGAUGGCAUGCAACGCAACCAAUUUUGCACUCGUUGAUGUAGAAUUUGGCGUUAAAAGGAAAAUGAUGGUUGCUCGUAUGCUCUCUGCUUAGACAUUGCUUUAUGUUAUGAAGUACCUACCAAGGCUGCGGCCAGAGAACUUGGCUAAUGCAAAGUUAUUCGACCAAGUGAAUGAAAUUGCACAAAGAAAGGGAUGCACCCCAUUGCAGUUAACCCUCGCCUGGGUACACCACUGGAGUGAUGACGUUUGCCCGAUUACCGGCACGAUCAAGAUCGAGAAUUUCAACCAGAACAUUGGAGCUCUGUCAGUGAAGCUUUCGCCAGAAGAGAUGGCCAAGCUCAAAUCGAUUGCUUAUACGGACAAUGUCAGGCGUGAGAAUUAAAACCACAUUUGAUACUAAAUUAUGCCUAGGUAGGAAUUCAAAACUCCACCUCCCGCUUUUCAUGUGGGAAGGUUGGCCCCACCUCGCGCUUAUGGAAAGAGUAAUCACGAAGACAUCACAAUAGUUCAAUUGACGUGAGCAGGUACGUCUUCCCUACAUGGUAAGGGUCGUCACUGGGCGUGCAAUUGACGUAAGCACGUGCGUCUUCACAGCCACUACCGCUCCCCUCCUACUCAUCGUAGCUUCUGCCACUACCCUCCUAUAAAUCUCGGCUCGCCCGACGACUUCGCCAUCGUCUCGGUGCAGUGCAGGGAACGAUCGAGCUCGAGCUAGACUACGGCAAUGGCGGCAUCGACGACGACGGUGAGGAGGAUCAAGCUGGGGUCGCAGGGCCUGGAGGUGUCGGCGCAGGGGCUGGGCUGCAUGAGCAUGUCCGCCUUCUACGGCCCUCCCAAGUCCGAGCCCGACAUGAUCGCCCUCAUCCACCACGCCGUCGGCUCCGGCGUCACCUUCCUCGACACCUCCGACUUCUACGGUCCUCACACCAACGAAAUCCUCCUCGGAAAGGUCGUUCUCUCAGUCUCUCUUUUGCCUCUGCAUGAAUUAUAUAUGCUUAUGGUUUUACGGAACUUAGCUUCAUCGAGCAGGAUGCUCUGAUCCUGCGCCUUGGUUUUCUGAUUUCGGGGUUGAUUUUGAGCAGGCACUGAAGGGAGGGGUGAGGCAGAAGGUGGAAUUGGCGACCAAGUUCGGAAUCAGAUUGGCGGACGGGAAGAGGGAGAUCCAGGGCGAUCCGGCGUACGUGAGGGCUGCUUGCGAGGCCAGCUUGAAGCGGCUCGACAUCGAUUGCAUCGACCUCUACUACCAGCACCGUAUCGACACUCGCGUCCCCAUUGAAGUCACUGUAUGGAUCCCUUAUCAAACUUUCACCUCGCUUGAGACUUUCUCUGAGCCAUACGAUGCAUCGUCAUGUUGUUACAAGUUUGUUGAAUUUUGUUAAAUGACACUUAAGUUCAGCUGAUAGCAGAGUUCAAGAUGCGGCACGGUGUUGUUCAAGGGUUGUGGAAUUUAGUAGUUUAGUGGCUUGAGUUUUCGUUUUGUGGGAAUCUUUUACAAGUUAAGGGUCAACAAGCAUGGAAAUUAUUCGAAAUCUUCCUUUGAGAUGAAAGUGCUCCGGGGUUCAUCCUGAAUUUAUAUACGGGAAUCACAUAUAAAGUUGUUCCUGGACUUUAUACGGAGACAUUUGAUUCUUGACAUAUUGUGAAAUAUGACAAGUACUUGGAAUACUUCUUUUAUUUGCUCUCUUCUGUGAGAGAUUCAAGAAAUCUACCUCCGUUAACUCAAUUCCUUGUGGGUUUUUUGUCGCAUUGAGAUGCAUGAUAAUUGAGGGAUCUAGACACAAAAAGCUAAUGACAAAAAUAAUUUUCUGGAUCUUAACAUGUAAGAUCUUGAUGUUGUUGUUCUGUCAUGUGAAUAUGCACAGAUCGGAGAGCUAAAGAAGCUCGUUGAAGAGGGUAAGAUAAAGUACAUCGGUUUAUCCGAGGCCUCUGCAUCAACAAUCAGAAGAGCACAUGCUGUUCAUCCCAUCACAGCAGUGCAAUUGGAGUGGUCGCUUUGGUCCAGAGAUGUGGAGGCGGACAUCGUUCCAACGUGCAGGUAGGAUAUCACUCCGUUAAUUGUUUAUGCAGCAACAACAGCUUCCUUCUGACUCUGCUUUUCCUUUAAAAUGUUGACUAGGGAGCUUGGCAUUGGAAUUGUUGCCUACAGUCCUUUAGGACGAGGAUUCUUUUCUGUUGGCUCCAAGUUGGCGGAGAAUUUCUCAAAGGAUGACUUCAGACAGGUCUGUUUCUGCUGGUCGACAUAAUUAGAUGCUCACAGUGACUGUCAUUCUCAUUGAAGUGCUGGAAACCUGUUCUUGUGGUAUAAAGAAAAGUUUCUGGAUGGGAUGAAUAAAACUUGGUGACACAAAUGCAUCACGUUCUUAUAUGUCUUCAAUCCAGCACUCGCCAGACAUACUACCUCUCUCGAUUCUAGAUAAAUGUAAAAUCACAAGUAAUGGCUUUAGUGAGCCUGAAAGAGGUAGGUUCCCGGAUUCUCAUUCUUUUGGGAAUGAAUACAUAUAGGUUUAUAUGUAAGUUGCUCUGUUUCCCAGCCUUCCCAACAUUUGCUUAUCACUAUCCUUUCCCCACUUUCCACCCACCCUUUUUCUCUCAUCUUUCUUCACAAGAUUAGCGAUAUUUCCUCGAAAUAACUGACGCCAGUAUCGGGCUCUGGCCUUCCGUCCUUUUUCAUUCUCAUCUUUCUUCACAAGAUAAACUAUAUCUUGACACAACCAUUUCUUGAGUGAGGACUCACGACACCCUUCUUAUGAGAGUUUUGGAUCAAGUUCCCAUCUGACAUAAAGCCAAUUGUGUAUUACUCCCUGCCAUUAGCGUUUGACUAGCGAUAGCGCUGGGCAAGUGAAGUAGCUAUUUUUCUUUGUAGCUAAAAGAGCUCUGCGUCUGAUAACAUUCUUCUACACAUCAUCUACAUUUCUGAUUUUUUAUUUUAUGUGUGACUAAUGGUAUCAUCACACGUACAAAACUUAGAUUGUCGAGUUUGUUUCUGUUUUCACAUCCUACAUCAAGCCCAUCAGCCUUGUGUGGUAGUUGCUAGAUCACUUCGCUUGACGUUUCUAAUGCUUAUGAUUUGGGACAUGAUAUUUUAAUCAUUUCAAGAUUAUUUAUAACUGAUCAUGCUUAUCCAGAUAGACAACGAUUGCACACUUCUAAAUGCUUAUUAUGUCAAGUAACAAGACAAUCUGAUGGCAUGCAAUGCAACCACUUUUGCACUUGUUGCUGUAGAAUUUAGCCUUAAAAGGAAAAUGAUAAUUGCAAUUGCUUUCUGCUGAGACAUUGCUCUAUGUUAUGCAGUAUCAUCCAAGGUUCCAGCCAGAGAACUUGGCUCACAACACGAAGUUAUUUGACCGAGUGAAUGAAAUUGCGCAAAGAAAGGGAUGCACCCCAUCUCAGUUAGCCCUGGCCUGGGUACACCACCAUGGUGACGACAUUUGCCCGAUUCCCGGCACAACCAAGAUCGAGAAUUUCAACCAGAACAUUGGAGCUCUGUCAGUGAAGCUUACACAGGAAGAGAUGGCCGAGCUUGAAUUGAUUGCUUCUGCGGACAAUGUCAAGGGUGGCAGGUAUGAUGGAAGCAUAUCUACAUGGGAAAACUCCGACACUCCACCCCUUUCUUCUUGGAAACCUGCCUAGAAGCGUGUCUGCUUCUGUUGCUGCAUCUUUGAUGUGCAGAGUUUGAGCAUUUGCCGCUGAAGUAAUUUGAGUUGAUGUUGUGUGGCUGUUAUAAGUAUGUGUAAUAAGAGAGUGACUGUUUUCAUUUUGUACAUGUGACAUUCACUAUGAGAAGAUUAUGGAUGUGUACUAACCUUACUGGGGAAAGAUCACUCGAUAAACACGAGAGCGAGUUGAAUAUGAACUGAGCCUGCCUUGUCGACUUUAUGGGGUGACUUUUAGAAUCAAUUGGGAUUUUGAAGAAUUCAAACUCAGUCGUACAUACCGCUGGAAAUAUGGCUUCGAAAUUGGGUAGAACAAUGAAAUCGGAUCGAGUAAAAUAACUCGGACUUUGAGGCGCGAUAUCACUUUCUUUAAGGAUUUAUUUACCCCACAACGUUGCUAAUGGUCACCAGCAAAAAUCCUCCAGGAUACAACAAAGUCUCGGAUGAGAAUACUAGAUAGCAAUUCAAGUAUUUCUCCAGGGUCUCUCUAAGAAACAAUCGAAAAAUUGGAUGCUGUUUUUCAGAAAGGAAUACUCGAAAAUGACACUCUUUUUCUUUCCGAAAAUGAUAGAUAUAUAUAUGAAACAGUCUUGCNNNNNNNNNNNNNNNNNNNNNNNNNNNNNNNNNNNNNNNNNNNNNNNNNNNNNNNNNNNNNNNNNNNNNNNNNNNNNNNNNNNNNNNNNNNNNNNNNNNNUUUUUUUUUUUUAUUUCUUAUUUUUGUUCCAAAGUUGCUCUCACAAUAAAAAAAAAAAAGACCAGAAUAAAAGUAUAAACAAAUGAGUUUCUGUUCUUUUUUGGUUCUCUAGAACAAAAUAAUAAAAAUUUAUAUUUCGGGAAAAAAAAUAAUUUUAAAUGAACACACCCUAAGAUAUCUUUUGUAUUCCGGGGAAGUAGUUCAAUUGACGUGAGCCCGUGCGUCUUCCCUACAUGGGAAGGGUCGUCGCUGGGUCUCAUCUGACCUAAGCAAGCGCGUCUUCACAGCUAUUACCGCUCCCCUCCUACACUUCGUAGCUACCGCCACUCCCCUCCUAUAAAUCUCGGCUCGCCCGACGCCUUCGCCAUCGUCUCGGUGCAGUGCAGGGAACGAGCGAGCUCGAGCUAGACGACGGCAAUGGCGGCUUCGACGACGACGGUGAGGAGGAUCAAGCUGGGGUCGCAGGGCCUCGAGGUGUCGGCGCAGGGGCUGGGCUGCAUGAGCAUGUCCGCCUUCUACGGCCCUCCCAAGUCCGAGCCCGACAUGAUCGCCCUCAUCCACCACGCCGUCGGCUCCGGCGUCACCUUCCUCGACACCUCCGACGUCUACGGUCCUCACACCAACGAAAUCCUCCUCGGAAAGGUCGUUCUCUCAGUCUCUGUUUUGCGUCCGCAUGAAUUAUAUGUGCUUAUAGUGUUACGGAAUUUGGCUUCAUCGAGCAGAGUGCUCUGAUCCCGCGCCUUGGUUUUCUGAUUUCGGGGUUGAUUUUGAGCAGGCACUGAAGGGAGGGGUGAGGCAGAAGGUGGAAUUGGCGACCAAGUUCGGAAUCAGCUUCGCGGACGGGAAGAGGGAGGUCCGGGGCGAUCCGGCGUACGUGAGGGCGGCUUGCGAGGCCAGCUUGAAGCGGCUUGACAUCGAUUGCAUCGACCUCUACUACCAACAUCGCAUCGACACUCGCGUCCCCAUCGAAGUCACUGUAUGGAUCCCCCAUCAAACUUUCACCUCGCUUGAGACUUUCUCCGAGCCAUAUGAUUAGUUGCUAAGUUAGAUUGGUGUUGAUGAUGCAUCGUCAUGUUGUUACAAGUUUGUUGAAAUUUGUUAAAUGACACUUAAGUUCGGCUGAUAGCAGAGUUCAAGAUGCGGCACGUUGUUGUUCAAGGGGUUGUGGAAUUUAGUAGUUUAGUGGCUUGAGUUUUCGUUUUGUGGGCAUCUUUUACAAGUUAAGGGUCAACAAGCAUGAAAAUUAUUCAAAAUCUUCCUUUGAGAUGAAAGUGCUCCAGGGUUCAUCCAGAAUUUAUAUACGGGAAUCACAUAUAAAGUUGUUCCUGGACUUUAUGUGGAGACAUUUGAUUCUUAACAUAUUGUGAAAUAUGUCGAGUACUUGGAAUACUUAUUUUAUUUGCUCUCUUCUGUGAGAGAUUCAAGAAAUCUACCUCCGUUAACUCAAUACCUUGUGACUUUUUUGUCGCAUUGAGAUGCAUGAUAAUAGAGGGAUCUAGACGCAUAAAAAGCUAAUGACAUGCAUAAUUUUCUGGAUCUUAACAUGUAAGAUCUUGAUGUUGUUGUUCUGUCAUGUGAAUAUGCACAGAUCGGAGAGCUAAAGAAGCUCGUUGAAGAAGGUAAGAUAAAGUACAUCGGUUUAUCCGAGGCCUCUGCAUCAACAAUCAGAAGAGCACAUGCUGUUCAUCCCAUCACAGCAGUGCAAUUGGAGUGGUCGCUUUGGUCAAGAGAUGUGGAGGCAGAGAUCGUUCCAACGUGCAGGUAGGAUAUCACUCUGUUAAUUGUUUAUGCAGCAACAACAGCUUCCUUCUGACUCUGCUUUUCCUUUAAAAUGCUGACUAGGGAGCUUGGCAUUGGAAUUGUUGCCUACAGUCCUUUAGGACGAGGAUUCUUUUCUGUUGGCUCCAAGUUGGUGGAGAAUAUCUCUAAGGAUGACUUCAGACAGGUCUGUUCCUGCUUGUCAACAUAAUUAGAUGCUUACAUCAACUGUCAUUCUUAUUGAAGUGCUGGAAACCUGUUCUUGUGGUAUAAAGAAAAAGUAUCUGGAUGGGAUGAAUAAAACUUGGUGACACGAAUGCUUUGUGUUCUUAUAUGUCUUUAAUCCAGCACUUGCCAGACAUCCCACCUCUCUUGAUUCUAGAUAAAUGUAAAAUCACAAGUAAUGGCUUUAAUGAGCCUGAAAGAGGCAGUUUUCUGGAUUCUCGUGCUUUUGGGAAUGAAUACAUAUAGGUUUAUUUGUAAGUUGCUCUGUUUCCCAGCCUUCCCACCAUUUGCUAAUCACUAUCCUCUCCCCACUUUCCACCCACCCUUUUUCUCUCAUCUUUCUUCACAAGAUUAGCGAUAUUUCCUCAAAAUAGCUGACGCCAGUAGCGGGCUUUGGCCCUCCGUCCUUUUUCAUUCUCAUCUUUCUUCACAAGAUAAACUAUAUCUUGACACAACCAUUUCUUGAGUAAGGACUCCUAGCACCCUUCUUAUGAGAGUUUUGGAUCAAGUUCCCAUCUGACAUAAAGCCAAUUGAGUAUUACUCCCCGCCAUUAGCAUUUGACUAGCGAUAGUGCUGGGCAAGUGAAGUAGCUAUUUUUCUUUGUAGCUAAAAGAGCUCUGCGUCUGAUAACAUUCUUCUACACAUCAUCUACAUUUCUGAUAUUUAUUUUAUGUGUGACUAAUGGUAUCAUCACACAUACAAAACUUAGAUUGUCGAGUUUGUUUCUGUUUUCACAUCCUACAUCAAACCCAUCAGCCUUGUGUGGUAGUUUCUAGAUCACUUCGCUUGACGUUUCUAAUGCUUAUGAUUUGGGACAAGAUAUUUUAAUCAUGUCAAGAUAAUUUAUAACUGAUCAUGCUUUUCCAGAUACACAACGAUUGCGCACUUCUAAUGCUUAUUAUGUCAAGUAACAAGACAAUCCGAUGGCAUGCAAUGCAACCACUUUUGCACUCGUUGCUGUAGAAUCUAGCCUUAAAAGGAAAAUGAUAAUUGCUCAUAUGCUCUCUGCUGAGACAUUGCUCUAUGUUAUGCAGUAUCUACCAAGGUUCCGGCCAGAGAACUUGGCUCACAACACGAAGUUAUUUGACCGAGUGAAUGAAAUUGCGCAAAGAAAGGGAUGCACCACAUCGCAGUUAGCCCUGGCCUGGGUAUACCACCAGCGUGAUGAUGUUUGCCCAAUUCCCGGCACGACCAAGAUCGAGAAUUUCAACCAGAACACUGGAGCUAUGUCAGUGAAGCUUACACCGGAAGAGAUGGCCGAGCUUGAAUCGAUUGCUUCUGCGGACAAUGUCAAGGGUGGCAGGUACGAUGGAAGCAUGUCUACAUGGGAAAACUCCGACACUCCACCCCUUUCUUCUUGGAAACCUGCCUAGAAGCGUGUCUGCUUCUGUUGCUGCAUCUUUGAUGUGCAGAGUUUGAGCAUUUGCCGCUGAAGUAAUUUGAGUUUAUGUUAUGUGGCUGUUAUAAGUACGUGUAAUAAGAGAGUGACUGUUUUCAUUUUGUACAUGUGAUAUUCACUAU
rnacentral:lncRNA from 1 species